GUGCACACGGGUUGCAGACAGGAAGACGGGGACAAAGUAGCCCCGAGCGAGCGUGGAGAAGCUGCGACCAGGUUGAGCGCUUGGCCGGGGAGAUGGAGGGAGAAGGGGGUGCGAACAGGAAGAGGUGCUAUGGCGUCGGAUGAGGCGAGGAGGCGGCGGCGGGAUGCUCCAUAGCUGGCUAGGGUUUGGCACGGGGGAUAGGAUGGAUGGAUCACUGCUCCAUUUGGGCGGUGGCGGGUGGGGGGAGGCCGGGAGGGACGUCCCUGUGGCUGGCCAACGCGAGACAUGUCCUUUUUUUCCUCACCUAUGUGUCAUCCUCCAGAUUCUAGAAGGUCCGCGUCGUUCGCAAGCCACUCCAGAUUCUAGAAGGCUCAGCGUCGUUCGCAAGCUGUGGCUGGAGGCUGACUCUAGCCGUAGAUUCACAAUCGGGUGGAGCACAAAAAAAUGGACGACGUGGAUAGCGUCGUAGCUUCCGUUUUGAACCGGCUUUAAAGAAAUAGAAACUUUGUGCUCAAUCAGGUUUUAUUCAGGUUUUAUUCAGAAUUUUGCACCACACAGGUAGAUGGAUGAUGCAUAUAUAUAUGCAUCAACAUAACAUACGCUAUUAUAUUUCUAAUGGGAGCAGCAGCACACUUUGUGCUCCACGCUUUCGUCACACCAGCCACCGUCCUUGAAACCCUUCGAGCUACAGAUCAAGCGGCAGUUCUGGUGGUCCUCGGAAUAGGACGAGAAGUAUGGCCUUCUCGGUGGCGGCGGUGACUUCUUGGGUUUCCCGAUGCCUGCACACACAUCGCAGUCCAAACGAGAUCGGCCGGUUAAUUAAUAGAUAAUUAUCGCCGGCUCUUAGAACGAAAUAGUAACUAUUGCGUAAGUAUUUAGAAGUAGAGAUCGAAGGUGCCUACAGCCGCCGGCUUCGUAGCAUGGAGACAGUGAGGACAGAAUGGCAACAGCCAACAGAAGCGCGACGAUUGUGCUGCUCUUCAUCACCGCCAUAAGGAAAGAUGAUCAAGCUUCCCUUAUUACCACGAGCUAGUGACGAAGAGAGAUUAUAUGAUUUGUUUGUUCUAAUCUCCGUCUUCGAUCUCACUUGUACUUAUAUAGAAGACGAAUCCAUCUCUAGCACAUCUCAUUUGUGCCAGAAGAUCUAGUUAUAGAUAUAGAUAGAGAUAGAGAUAUAGAAAUUUUACAUAUAGAUAUAGUUAUGGAUAUAGAUAUUGGGAUAUGUUGUUGUUGAUAUAAUAUGAUGAUAUUGGUUUAGUCAUACAAAGACAACCAACAUAUUUGCAAUGGUUGUUCUUCCACUACUAAUUAUUUUGCAAUCUAAUAAGAAGAUAUUAGACAUUAAUCCAUAAAUGCUUAGACGAAACAUACCUAAGCUUGGAGGUGCGUCUACAUAGCAUAGACACUACCAGAGUCACAUGCUUUGCCGAGUGCCCCAUGCACUCGGCAAAGCCAGAAAUACACACAGUAAACCUUUUGCAGAGUGUCACACCCGGCAAAGGGUAAACGGCAAAAAAAUCAUUGGCAAAGGCGGUUCAACCCUAUUUAGUCGUUGUCACAAUCGCUGCUGUUGUUUCCAGCCGCCACCAUUGUUUCCAGGCCGUGUCCAACGGUUCACCCCGUUGUCUCUCUUUCCUGUAUACUCGGUGUAUGGACGUCUGGAAUGUGGUCCAACGAUGUGUGAUGACACCGAAGGAAAUCAACAGAAGGCGGGAAGGAACCAUGGCUACUAGGAGGGUUCGAUGUCAAGUGAAGCCCAACUCUCGCGUCCAUGGGCCAGAUUGGACCCAAUGAGUGUUUUAGUGUUUUCUUUUUGUUUUGGCAUGUGGUAUAAAGAAAAGGACUUUAUGAAUCGCCAAGGGCGGCUUGGGGCAUAAGUUGAGGCCGACUGCGUUCGGAAAGGGAGGGCUCUUCCUCUGUAACCUGAAUCAUGAAUUCCAGUGAUAAUUUGAUACUUCGUGAGAGGUGGAGGGUACCAGGAGCCGUGCUCGUGAUCCAAAUCAUGUCUUUGUGUUCAUCGGCUCUGUUACCUGUUCCAUGGUUCUAUUACAAUUGGUAUCAGAUUCCUGGUUCCUGAUCCUGGUGAAACCUCUAGAAUAUAUUCUUCGCCCUUAUUACAAUACAAGAAACCAGAAGUAGUUAGAAGCGAUGGAGAAAAUAUCAUUGAUCUAUCGGUGCUCUUGCUGAACAUGCAACUCUAGAGUGAAUCAAGCAAGCAAAAUAAUAUGUCAAAAGAAACAUGAUUACAUGACUGCCUAUCUGUCCAAGAAAAAUAAUUGAGAUUGUUUAAGAAAAAUAAAAUGCAUAACUGUCUAACUGUCCAAAAUGCACAACUUGUAAACUCUUAAGAUAAAAUAUUUUUGUCAUUGUAUUGGCAUUAGUAAUGUCUAAGAAAUGUGAGUGAGUUAGUAAGUUAUAAAAAUGCCACCAAUAAUAUUAUCUAAGUAAUGUGAGGCUGCCGGUAAGACCUACUCUUACUAAAGUCGCCAGAACACACAUGUACCUAACACUACCGUAAAGGAUGCAUCUCAUAUUCUAGUAGGUGCAGAACAUACACUAUCAGCACCAAGUCAAUGAUUUUGACACAUCAAAGUGUUACCGACCAAAACACACCUAAAUAAAAUUCAUCAUGCUUGCACAGACACUUCAGUUACGACUACACCAUAGAAAAUUCAAUUUUCAAGAUUGGAUAGAACCUAUCAGGCAAGAAGGGAUACACUACUGCAAAUUCAGAGAUGCAUAUUGCUCUAUUCAGGGAAUAAGAAAUACACUAAUUGGAUCUCAGAGAAGCAUUUGACAGCUCCAUUUUGAGAAGUGCAAGAUCUGUACCAUUUUUUUCAACCUUUUUUUACGCUGUUUUAGUUCCAUAAUAAUAAUAAUAAUAAUAAUAAUAAUAAUAAUAAUAAUAAUAAUAAUAAUAAUAAUAAUAAUAAUAAUAAUAAUAAUAAUAAUGGCAAUGUACGUAGGUGCAGUGUGUUCCUUUGACAUCUUACGUUUCUUUUUUCCUAAACCUUUUGCUCCAUAUAAUUUGCCACGUUUCGUUUCAGGACAUCCGGAAAAAAGCCAGAUUUUAUUCAGAAUUUUGCACCACACAGGUAGAUGGACGAUGCAUAUAUAUAUGCAUCAACAUAACAUACGCUAUUAUAUUUCUAAUGGGAGCAGCAGCACACUUUGUGCUCCACGCUUUCGUCACACCAGCCACCGUCCUUGAAACCCUUGGAGCUACAGAUCAAGCGGCAGUUCUGGUGGUCCUCGGAAUAGGACGAGAAGUAUGGCCUUCUCGGCGGCGGCGGUGACUUCUUGGGUUUCCCGAUGCCUGCACACACAUCGCAGUCCAAACGAGAUCGGCCGGUUAAUUAAUAGAUAAUUAUCGCCGGCUCUUAGAACGAAAUAGUAACUAUUGCGUAAGUAAUUAGGGCAUGUAUAGUGGAGAGACACAAAAACGGUUCUCCAAGCACAGGAGACAACUAAGAGACUCUAUUGUACAAUGGAGUGUCUAUAAACGUAGUCUAUUAAUAAAUACAGAAUUAAAUGUAUUUGUAUAGCAUCAGAUCGAUAGAACAGACGACAAAUUCGUACAGUGGGAAGUGAGACGUCUGUUGUUACUUGGUUUACGAGCCAGAUGCGUCUCUUCACGGAGAGACGGCUCUAAGAUUUUUUUGCAAAUAACCCCCUAAAACACCUUAAGAGCCCCCACAUUAAACACCACUGUACAUGCCCUUAGAAGUAGAGAUCGAAGGCGCCUACAGCCGCCGGCUUCGUAGCAUGGAGACAGUGAGGACAGAAUGGCAACAGCCAAUAGAAGCGCGACGAUUGUGCUGCUCUUCAUCACCGCCAUAAGGAAAGAUGAUCAAGCUUCCCUUAUUACCACGAGCUAGUGAAGAGGGAAUAUAUGCUCUGUUUGUUCUAAUCUCCGUCUUCGAUCUCACUUAUAUAGAAGACGAAUCCAUCUCUAGCACAUCUCGUUUGUGCCAGAAGAUCUAGCUAUAGAUACAAAUAUAGAGAUAGAGAAUAGAAAUUUCACAUGUAGAUAUAGUUAUAGAUAUAGAGAUAUAGAAAUUUUACAUGUAGAUAUAGUUAUAGAUAAUGAUGGAGAUAUAGAAACUUUACAUAUAGAUAUAUUUAUAGAUAUAGAUAUUAUCAUAUAUUGUUGUUGUUAUGAUGUGAUCAUAGUUGUUUAGUCAUACAAACACAGCCAACAUAUUUGCAAUUGUUGUUCUUCCACUACUAAUUAUUUUGCAAUCUAAUAAGAAGAUAUUAGACCUUAAUCCAUAAAUGCUAAGAAGAAACAUACCUAAGCUUGGAGGUACGUCUACAUAGCAUACACACUACCAGAGUCACAUGCUUUGCCGAGUGCCCCAUGCACUCGGCAAAGCCAGAAAUGCACACAGUAAACCUUUUGCAGAGUGUCAAACUCGGCAAAGGGUAAACGGCAAAAAAAAUCAUUGGCAAAGGCGGUUCAACCCUAUUUAGUCGUUGUCACAGUCGCUGCUGUUGUUUCCAGCCGCCACUGUUGUUUCCAGGCCGUGUCCAACGGUUCACCCCGUUGUCUCUCUUUCCUGUAUAUUCGGUGUAUGGACGUCUAGAAUGUGGUCCAGCGAUAUGUAACGACACCGGAGGAAAUCAACAGAAGGCGGGAAGGAACCAUGGCUACUAGGAGGGUUCGAUGUCAAGUGAAGCCCAACUCUCGUGUCCAUGGGCCAGAUUGGACCCAAUGAGUGUUUAAGCGUUUUCUUUUUGUUUUGGCAUGUGGUAUAAAGAAAAGGACUUUAUGAACAGCAAAGGGCGGCUUGGGGCAUAAGUUGAGGCCGACUGCGUUCAGAAAGGGAGGACUCUUCCUUUGUAACCUGAAUCCUGAAUUCCAGUGAUAAUUUGAUACUUCGUGAGAGGUGGAGGGUACCAGGUGCGGUGCUCGCGAUCCAAAUCAUGUCUUUGUGUUCAUCGGUUCUGUUACCUGUUCCAUGGUUCUGUUACAAUUGGUAUCAGAUUCCUGAUUCGUGAUCCUGGUGAAACAUCUAGAUUAUAUUCUUCGCCCUUAUUACAAUACAAGAAGCCGGAAGUAGUUAGAAGCGAUGGAGAAAAUAUCGUUGAUCUAUAGUUGGUCAUCGUAGUUGGUGAAAGUGGAUGGGACCGUGGUCCCAUCGCUCCCUAUUUAUCUGCAGCAUCAUAUGGGGUAGAUAUUCGAAUCGUCACAUUAAAUGUGUAUAUCUCCAUGGUUCCUGUGACCUUUGACUGAGGCUGAGAUCGGGGCUGUCCUCUUGUCCGAGACAGGCUAGGGCGAGGUGGAAACCGUCAUUCCGUGAAGACGGGCCCUUGGGAGAGGCGGGGAUUUCUUCCAAGCGCUGCCUUCACCCGAGGACAGGCUCGGACGAGGCAGAGUUUUGAGCGACUGUCGAGCGGGGUCUCGGGCGAAUCGUGAUUCAACCAUGCUCGACCUCGGGGAACGUGUCUUAUGAUUUUUCGGCAGUUAGGUGGUAAGGAUGUUUAGAGGCAUAAUCUGGGUACCCCUAAUUAUGAUACCCGACGCCAUGCAUACCAAUUCAUUUCCUAAAUUUGUGCAUAUGCAUUCCAAAAUUUUUAUGCAAAUGGAAAUAAAUGUGCAUACAAGGGGCGUGUGGGGGUGGAGGCGGUCAGGCCAGUCGAGUUAGAGGGAAGGUUUCACCUAGUGCAUGGCGGGGACACUCCAGACCACAUGCACCUGGUUGUUAGGUGUGGUCCAGGGGGUGGCUGGGGUUCAUGUAACUAUUGGAAGACGUGGACUCCCUAUAUAUAUAUAUAUAUAUAGUUUGUAUAUAUAUAUAUAGUUUGUAUAUUUGGAGCCCUGAGCUUUCAAUAACUAGAGGAAGCUCUGGUCCAAUCUCUACUACUUAUUAAGGCGGUAAGGGGUAGGCUGUCAUUCCGUGUUCUGUCAUUCCCAUUCCCCUCUCCCUGCAAAGCUUAUUCCCAUUCCCGACUGUCACGCUGUCAUUCCGUGUUCUGUCAUUCUCAUUCCCCUCUCCCCGUAAAGCCCAUUCUCAUUCCCGGCUGUCACGCUGUCAUUCUGUGUUCUGCCAUUCUCAUUCCUCCUUCCCCACACUGGGAUUUGAACCUGCGACCCCUCAAACAAAUAUGCUCGUAGCUACCACUACACCACAUGUGUGUUUAUAUCAACAUCUAUCACAGUAAAAAUAUAUACUACAUCUCUCCCAAAGCCCACCUGCUACCCUUGCAUCCAAUUUCUUUUGUUUAAAUAAUGUUUUCAACUUAAAUUGCUUUUUUAUAUGUGUGUCAUUUAUUCUCCAUAAUAUUUUCCAUGAAUCUAACUUGUGAGUCAUUUUCAUAAACCAACGCCAAAGAUGAAUCCAUGUUUCUUACUUGUAAACCCCGAACAAACACCACUGGCAGGAAGCGCUCGCGUUGGCGUCGCUCAUCGACGACGAGAAGAAGCUUGGAGGCUGCCAGUUCGACCUCUAGAAGCAGUACUACGUGGCCCGCAUGCGUCGCUGUGUUCGGCAAGCUCCGACGCAGCCGCUGCUUGGACGCGGUCCAGAGCGGCUGCACCGCGCUGUCCAUCUUCAAACAGGGAGACCUCAUGGUCGUCGCCAACGCCGGCGACUCUCGGGUUGUUCUGGGCACCGCAUCCGACAACGGCGUCGUCACGCCGUCCAGCUCAUCAUCCACCUGAAGCUGAACCUGUCACAUAAGUCACUACUGACCGGCCAUGAAUUCUUGUGCGCUGGGACGACGGCCGUUGCUGACGUUAUGUCAGUGUCCUCGAACAAGAUGUAUGUAGAGGAGUAGCACAUCCGGUGGUGCAACGGUUAGGCGUACUACCUCGCUGAUGAGCCCGGGGUGCACUUCGUUUGGCAGCCCAGCCAAGAGUCAUCGGUACUCGCCAUGUUGUGCGCGUUCGACGACUACUAUAUCAAGGACUAUGGCGUCAUCUUGGUGCCAGAGGUUACGCAGAGGAGGACUGACAGCAAUAACCACUCGCCAUCGUCGAGGUAGCUUUUGUGCUGGUCUGCCUUUAAAUCUCUUCGCAAACACAUAUACUUGCCUUUUUUUGUUUAAGCAAGCGUGUAUGGUGGUGUGUACCUGAUGACUGACAAUGUACGAGGGAACUUCUACCAGCAGGUGUGGCAUGUGCUCUUCAAUGAUGAGACCAUGCAAAUCGUGGUAUAUAUCAAAGUCUGCAUGAUACUGAUGGUUGGAAUGUAGUAGUGAAACAGCUAAAUUAAAAUAACAAAUUUUAUGUAUGGCUAGGAUUACAAAUGGAUUAUGAAAUAUUUUCUUAUAACAAUAUAAGACACAUUUUGUAUAUAAGUUAUUAUGUUAUUAUAUGUUCCCGUUGCAACGUACGGGCACUCACCUAGUAGUAUGUUAUGGUUCAACCAUACUGUCUCAAUCGUUUCCAAUCCAACGUAACACAGGCCCAGCGACGGAUCUCAGGCCCAACCAAACUGGCCUUCGGCGGCCCAGCACAGCAGCUUAUCACGGCCAAAACCGCCAAACCCUAGUUGUGCAUGCAUAGCCCCUCACGCCAGCCGCCAACGCCCCAAUCCCGUAACCGCAGCCUCGCCCCGCUCACAUCUUCCUCUCCCUCUCAGCGCUGGUGCUCAAUCUAUAGGUCGUCCCACUCCCUACACACCCGCCCUCCGGUGUGAACCUCCAUGACGUCUGCAACCACUCUUCGGUAAGAAUCCCGCGUGCGCUUACACAGAGAUUGGUAAUAGUGGUGACCCAGUCGCAGCCGCGGACCUUCGCCUCCUCAUCGCUUGCUCGUUGUCGCCCUUUGCUUACGUCUGCACCCGACGCUGCUACCCUUUGCUCACCUGUUCAUAAUCCUUUCAGAUCUGCUGUCGUGACCUCAUCCAGCCGUGCUGUGGCAGUGGAUCGGAGUUCGCUCCAGCUCUGAUUGGUAAGGAACUAAGCAUGCCCCUCUCAUAUUUGCGUAGAUGCGUUGUUUGUCUCAUUCUACAGAAUCACUCUCCCAUAAUGUUGAUUUCUAUACGUAUUAAUGUUGGUUAGAGUAGGCAUGUGCAACGAAAGUUACAAGAAUGGUAGAAUUCUUCCAUGACUUCUGUAUGGUAGUGCUCCUAGAUGGUAUGCUGUAAAUUAGAUAUUACCUUGCAUCCUCCACAUCUUCACACAUAUAUAUGGUGUUUAUAGGGGGGAAAUGACUAGGGUAUCAAGUGGAAAAACAUAAUGGUCCAGGUUCUACUGCACCUCUUUCAGGCUAAGCAUCUAAACAACAAUAUGUAAAUUAUCCUUUUCCAAUAAAAUACAUGCUUAAACCGUGGCUGCUAGGCAAAUGGUCCUACUUUGGUCAUCAAAUGCAGGUUAGCUUAACUUUUUCUAAUGCAUUAUUAUUUGUGGUUUCCAUCACAUGUACGUCAGCUUAUCUUUUAGCAAAUUUGUAGCUGAUGUCAAUUAACUUUUUAGUGGAAUUUUAUCUGCUCAUUCUUAUAUUCAGGAAUUCCACUACUAUAUGUGCCACUUGAAGUUGUUAUGUCAAAAUAUUAUGGUGAAAGCGAGCGUCUAUUGGGAUCUAUUUUUUAUCUUGCAAAUGAUCUUCCUGAAAGAGGUAAUAUAUUCUUAGAUGAGGUAUAUAUCGUAAUACUUAUAGCAUAAGCACUCAAGCCACUACAAGUAAGCUCCUGCCCUUUGCUUGUUUCCAGAUUGAUAUGUCAAGAUACGCUUGUUUCACUUGAGCUCACUGUUAUCUGAAAAUCUAUAGACUGCCUUCGUCCCCUUCAUCACUACCGAUGACCGUGACUUGGCCACCACAGCAAAAGCACGCAGGAUCCUUGAUGUGUGUGGUCUAGACGUGAUUGAAUUGGGCGUGCCUGACUUUGAUCCAUUAGUUGAAUGUCCAGCAACUCAAAUUGUUUGCCUAUACAAUUUGUUCUUAUACUAUAUUGUCUAUGUAUGCUCCUGCUUCCUGCGUUUUGGUUUACACUAGUUUAGGCCUCCUCGACACGCGCUCUGGCGAAGUGCACCACAUUUGAGGAUGUCAUCUCCAUAGUAAAGUGGGUGAUACCUGACCUAUUUUGCCCUAACAUGUAGCACUUUCACAUAUUACAACCUGAUUCUUUUGCGUGGUACCCCCAACAUGAGCGUUGUUAUAACCUCAUUCUUGUGAUGUUCACUCCCAUUAAAAUACCAUUACAUUAAGUAGAUAAUCUGGUAAUAGGACAUCUAGAUAAUUUUGGUAAUUGACCUUGGGGGAAAAUGGUACAUCCAAUUACUGCUUACAAAUUGAUCUUUUUACGGUUCUGCUUAUCGCGUUUGUGCAUUGCGUUUUUUCGUUCAAUUGUUUUAGUUUUACAUAUUUUAUGUUAUUUGAAUAACUAUAGAUAUAUAUCCAAACUGCACUAGUAGAGAAAACUCUUAAAACGCAUGUCCCAAUAUAGAUAUAAUAUGAAGGAUUAUUGUGCUUAAACAAAUUUUAGAUUAUGGGCAUAGCCUACUUAGUUCAUACUGAAAUGAAUAAAUUUAUGCAUUUUCAAACUAAAUUUUACGACACUUCUUGUUGUGUUUUAUGUUUCUAUUAAAAAACAGUCUUACUGCGUUUUACACCAAAUUUAUGACACUUUUUGAUGUGUUUUACAGCAAUCUAGGUGCCACCAGUGUGGGCGCAACCCAUCACGAGGCGAUGCUGGCGAGCCAGCCAUAGCGCGACAUCUCCGUCCGCGUCGUUAAUCCCUAUGGGUGUGCAACAGCAGCGGUAAGAUUCCUUACUGGUCCCAUGUUCUUGCUCCCCUUUUUCUACCUACUGCAGCCUUGGUGUUUGAUGAAAUGUGCGUGUGGGCAAGGGUCUGUUGCAAAAUAAAUAUUCAGUAUUAGUGAUCAAUGUAGCGCUCACACUUUGUUUUCUUAGGUGCUUUGAUUAUCUGCUUCAAACAAAACAUGCACAACACUUACAAGAUAGUAUUGGUUGUAUUUGCUCAUAUAGAUCUACAACUAGUUGUUUCUUGCUAUGUUCAUUGUCAAGGUAGGCUAGUGCUUGAGAUUACUACUGAAAUGUGCCCAGUAUUGAGAAGUACAAAUUUAAGAUAAAUAAAGUGCUCCUUUUGACUAAACAAUAAAAUAAAAUACUCCAAAUUUGGAAAUUGUACCUUCUCAAAAUGCUUUAGAAGUCAUAACAUCAAUGCUCCACUCCACAUUAUGGGAUACGAUGCUUGUGGCUCCAGCACUCUAGCAGGCACAUCAAGUUGUGUUGGCCUAGGCUGGGAAAAUAGGGUGUAGGUAAUGGGAGCAAAAAGAUGGCAGGGAAAUAUGUCUGAUAGUUUGGUCUGGAACUUGGCCCCAUGUCUUGAUUCCAAUGUGUUUGUUUGUUCCUACUAUGUGAAAAUGAAGAAGAUAAAUGCUGGGAGAUGGCCUAACCAUCAUGUUGUUUUAUGGUGGUGUUAGUAGUUGGCUAAUUGCCAAAGGUGAUGUGUUAGGCAUGGGAUGGUUAGGAAGAAAGAAGUAACAAGCCUUAACAAAAUUGCAUAACACUUCUAGGGGCAAAGAUAACCUUUUUGUCGGACUCUAAUAUUCGGUGUACAUUAUCCUACCAGAACACGAGUAUAUUCUGUAAAAUUACAUCGCUUUAUUGUGUACCUGACAGAAUUUUGGUCAAAUGACAUUUUCGUGCUCUCCCAAAUAUGUACAUGCCUUAUAUUGUCUUGUUCUGCUAUGGCUUUGGCUACGAGAAUAAGAUUGCAUAUCUCGUGGCAGUAAUAUUGUGGGUGACUGAAGCUAAUAAGUUAUAAUGGUGUAUGGUUUCAGGUAUUCAACAUGUUAGGUAAAAGUAUCGAUGCAGACCAAAGAUUAACACUUGAUGGAGACAAGUUGACCACUGACCUUGCUGGUCUAUUUACUAGAACAUCAAAGAGUCCUGCAUACCAUGUUUAUGUCAUGAGAAGUAAUAGGAAGUAGAGGAUAUCUAGGUGGUUUUGGCAAUGUAUUUAGUGAUUUUAACCAUUCACCCUCUAAUGCAAAGGAAUACCCCCUUGCCUUGCCAUCACGAUUAUUUUGUCCUCUUUCUGUUGCCUUGGCAAGUCAAGAUUCUACAUAUGCAUAUUUUAAAAUUGCUGGACUCAUGUAUGCUAAAAAUUGUACUUAUUUACGCAGUUUUGAUUCUGUUUUAUGCUUAAAUCCAUCCGAGCAAGAACUUGUGCACUGUUGUAUGCACGUGAUUUUCACGCUGUAAUUUGGGUCUCAUUCGUCGUUACGAAACAAAACGACGAUUUACGCUAAAAUUCAUACCCUCGUUUUGGUUCACAUUUUACGCUGAAAUUCACCCGAGCAUGAUCGGACGUACGUGAAUUUCACGCCGUGAUUAUCGGGUCUCAUUCGCAGUUAUGAAACAGAUCUACGAUUUACGCUAAAAUUCAUACUCAUAUACGCUAUGUUGGUUCACGUUUUACGCUGAAAUCCACUCGAGCCAGAAUCGCGCGCGAUUUUCACGCCAUAAUUUCGGGCCCCAUUCACGGUUACGAAACAGAUCUAUAAUUUACGCUAAAUUCAUACUCAUUUACGCUGUUUUGGUUCACAUUUUACGCUCAAAUCUGCUCGAGCCAAAACCAGCACACGGUCGAACACAUGUUUGUACGCCACAAUGGUAUACCUGGCUGGGGCUUCCCGAUACUAAUGAAAGCCCAGGGCUCCCAUUACCAUCAGCCUAUAUAUAUAUAUACAUAUAUAUAUAUAUAUAUAUAUAUAUAUAUAUAUAUAUAUAUAUAUAUAUAUAUAUAUAUAUAUAUAUAUAUACUUUUAAAAUAUAAUAAAUAAUUUAAAGAUUUAUUAAAAUCUAUUUUUAUAUAUUUUAUUAUUACCAAAGGUAAUAUCAUAAAUCUUUUAAAAUAACAAAUUUAAAAAUAUAUUUUUAAUCUAAAAAUUAGGUUUCAUGUUUCAAAAAAAUAAUUUUUGAAUUUAUUUUUCACACAAAAACACCAUGCAUACGAUAAGAAUGCAACAAACAAGAAUCAUAUAUUAUGUAUAGAAUUAUUUUGUUUAUUUAAAAUUCAUGUCAUACACAAAUAUAUCUGGAAUAUUUUAUAAAAAUGAUAAAAAAUAUUUAUUUUCAUUAAUUGUUUUAGUAAUAACUCAAAAUGGAGAUUUUAGGGUGUAACAGCAAGGCAAGUUGCAAAGAGGUUCUUUCAAGUUGAAGAUCUAAAUUUUAGAGAGACCUUUACAUCAAACAAUCCAUGUGUAUCAUCCUUGCACAUACGUAUCUAAUCAUAACAUUAAACUAUUUUAAAUGGAUGUUAAAGUGCAUUUUAAAUGGUUUUAUAAAUAAACUAGUCUAUGUUGAUCAAGCUCUGAGUUUUGAAGACACUUGAUAUCUUAAUAAUUUGUUUAUAAUUUAUCCAAAGUGAUAUAUGGGCUAAAAUAAGCUCUAAGGACAUGUUAUAAUUAAGCAUCGUUGGGAUGGGAUUUCAUCCACUGAAAAGAGCUUUAAGAUCGAGGCAAUUGAUACCAUAUUGUUUACCAAGAAGCUACAUGAUAAUAUCUUCAUUUGUCAAUUUUAUGUUGACAAAACUGCAAAAUGCGUUGUUUGGAGCUCUAAACAUGCAAUUUGGCCACACGCCCACCCCGUCGUCGUGCUAAUCGAGAAAACGGAGGGACACAGGCGAACAGGUCAAAGCCGUCCUCGAACCAACAGCCAACAUCCCCGUGCCAGAUGUCGCGGCCGGCCGGCCGUCUUCCCAGCAAGCUGGAAGAGCACGACAAGAUACAUUCUUUGCGAGGCAUAUGCGCAAGGAACCAGCCCUGUCAUCUCCCGUUAAUCCCAAUCAGGCAGCCAGCAGCCCAGCAAUGGCUAGCUAGCUGUGUUCCUAGCUGCGUGCUAGCUAGUAGGCAGCCCCUGUACGAGCACAAGGGUAAUAGGUACGAGCUGCACUCCGGCAGCGCCGCCUGCGCUGUCGAUAAAACGGAACCUUGCUGGUGUCAAUGUGAGAACAUCUAGACAAUUAAUUAGACGCAAUUUGCAGGGAGACCAGCUUAAUAGCUUGUAGCUAUAGCCUGACAGUGACAGCAUAGUGAAGUUCAUUUCGCAGCUAACAAUGGCAGCCCGGAUAGUCGUCCUGAUCCUCCGGCUCCUCACCCUCGGCCUCCUCGCUGCCUCGCUCGUGCUCAUCGCCACUGACAAGCUCAACAUCGACGGCAGCGACGACUCGUCGGAGAACUACAUCGACGCCGGCGACAGCGACUUGUCGGUGAAGUACACCUUCAGGGACAUCCACGCCUACAGGUGAGAACGUACGCCAACCAACACGACGCUUCAUUCAACUGGUACGUACGAAGCGCAUCUCUGAACGAACACCAAUGGCGCCUCCGUGGCGUGGCAAACGCAAACCAGGUACGUCCUGGCCGUCGCCGUCAUCGGGUGCGCCUACACGCUGCUACAGCUACCGUUCGCGGCAGUCAGCAUCGCCAGAGGGAAGUCGGCCAACGUCGGCGGCGGCGGCGGCGUGGCCGCGGCGCUGGUCCUCGUCCUCGCCGACGUGGUCUUGGUCCUGCUGCUCGCGACGGGGGCCGCCGCUGGGUUCGGCUUCACCAGCGACGUGAAGCGCCUCUUGGACGGGCUGUUCGACGACACCAACGGGCUCGACCAGGUACAACUGAAAGUGGACAGGUUCUUCGACCUGGCCUCCGCCUCCGCGGGGCUCAUGCUGGCCGCCGCCGUCUCCAUGGCGCUCGUCGUCAUGCUCUCCGUCUACUCGCUCGCCAAGUGACAAUGACGAGAUGCGUGGAAAUAACCAGCCGGUUCGAGAUUUGUCUUCCUUUGUAAUAAGCUUUCUUUAUUUACACACAUAAGAACACGGCUAUGUACUCUUUUAAAUUGAGGUUGUCUUUCUGCUCUCUAUAUACAUAUAUAUCAAAAGAUAUAUAUAUUUAGAUACACACUAAAACAUAUAUAAUAACUAGUUAUCAUAUGGAUAGAGUUUGUUUUAAUAAAAUAUAAAAAAUAUGUAUUUUAUUGGUUAUAUGGUGUGAAUGUAGAGCCAACAAAUAAAAUUUAAACUCGCAAUUGUACACAAUUUUAUCUUAUUUUUGCAAAAGCGGAAAGGGUACGGUGAUGCAUGGUAACUGUCAAAUCUUGGAACCGUGAAUACUGUUGCUUUAUAUGGUUAGAGAAAUAAAAAACAAUUUAUAAUUUAUUAGAACAUAGUGAAUAUGAUGUUAAAUAAAAUUUUGACAUUUUUAACGGAUCAAAUAAACAACUAGCUCUGCCCGUUCAAACAUUUCAAAUCAUCAUAGUAUUAUAUUUAUCAUUUUAUUCUUGCAUAACUUUUAUUUUCCCUUGCAUAAUUUGAGUUUUAGGUUCAAAUAUUGUAAAGUGAUAACUGAUAUGUGUACCAUACUUUACCGAUAUAUUUAGGAUCUUUUUGCAAUAACCCUUGUUUGCCACGUAUGCAUUCCAUAUUAAUUAUAAUUAUAUAGAGAGAGGUCAGCGCUAGGUGAUGAUCACCCACCCUAAAAUGGCUUAGCAAACCUUUAUUAAUUGUUAAGUCAUUCGUGAUUUUUGUUAAGCCAUUCCAGGGUUGAUGAUCAUCACCUAGAGCGACGAACCGAACCGUGUUGUGUAAUAUAUAUAGGGCAGAGGUAUUCAUCACCUAGGGUGAUGAACCGUCUAGACCGACCCAAAUGAUGAUAGUCUAGAGGAGGGUGAAUAGGUAACUCCUGAAAAUGUUAACUAAAACACAAGGAGCAAUCUGAAUAAUCUAACUUUGGUGGUUAGGUGAGAACAAUAUAGCCAAAAAUAAAAAUACUUGCUUAUGCUGCUAGUAAAACUUAAGUGCAAAAUAAAAGACUAGCAACAAUAUGGUGCGAGAUAAAAAAACUCAAUUGAUGCAAAAAGCAUGUAUUAACUAUAAGAGAAAAUGCAAAUGCAAAUGGGAAGGAGAAUGCACAAAAAACUCAAGAUUUGAUUACUAGAGUUUGGCCUCACAAAGAAACAUAUGUAUUUGUUGAGGGGUUCAUAAAGAAUCAGGUCUUUUCAACCCUUACGCACACAAGCAAUCAUUAAGAUCGAACUUGAGUCAUUUCUUAUUCAAAUGGGUGAGAGCAAACUCUCACAAGGCUCUCCACACAAAGUCGUAGGUUCUUGAUCAUUUUACAAUCUUUGGAGCAGCAAGUCCACUCAAGAAUAAUCACAACAUCUUCUCUUUUUUUCUCAGAAUCACAACUCAACAAUGUGCCUCAAAACCAUUGUAUUUUUGGAGCUGUCAAAACUACAAUAUUGUCAUCACAAUUACAAAGUAUAGUAUUGUAAAACCAUGGUUUUGAGAAACAUUGUUGCCAAACAGGCCCUCAAGUGCUCUAGCAACUCUAUUGCUAUCUUAAGCUCUCACAAGUUGUCUAUACUAAUCACACUUUGAUUUUGGAGCACUUGGAUGGAUUGAAUGGUUUGGAGAUGAUCCUCUAUCUUGUAUGUGAUGUUUAUUAGCUCAUAGAUGGAGUUGUGCCUAGUUAGAGGGGUAUAUAUAGGCUGGCUAUCUCAAAAUAGCCCUUGGAACCCCACUAUCGUUUCUACAUACUCACUAGACACGUCCGAUGGUGCACCAGACAGGUCUGAUGCUGCCUUAGAGGUUACCAUUGAAAAAACUAUAAGUUUUGUUAGUUUUUAGUCUAUCAAAACUCACCAGACACAUAUCUGGUGGGGCACCGGACACACACGUCAGCUAGUUAUUGGAAUGUCGUGUCCAGUGUGUCAUCCGGCGCAGCACUGGACUCGUUAAGUGCCCUCAAUCUGACUUUGUCUCCUUUUGUAACCUCUUUGCAAGUCUUAUCCAGUGGGGAAUCUGGUGUGCCAUUGGAUACUUCCAGUUCCCAUCGUUUCCGAAAGUCUAUUUCCAGCCUCUCUACAAGUCGUAUCUGGUGUGCUCUCUGGUGCACCAUCAAUAUAUGUCAGGUGUUCUUUGGCCUAUCUUAAGUUGUUUCUUCGAGUUUUUUUGCUUGGACUUGUCUUGGACUUUUGUAUGGCCUUGAUAGAUAUUCAGCUAUUUAAUUGUAUGUACGUUACUACAGUUUCUAUAUGUCAUAUAAGUAGACCUUGCUUAAACAAAUCAACAUAUGCACCACCAGUCGGUGUGCCUUCGACGCCUCAUGCGGAUCUAGACGUGUGGUGGCGCGCUCCUAGAGCUUGAUCGGGUGGAUCUAGCUGUGCCUCGUGGUGCACCUAGGAUUUUUCUCUAGAGAUGUUGAGCGACGUGUGACGAGGAGAGAGACGGAGACAACGAGUGACAAAGUAUGUGGUGUGGGGUGAGACAAGAUAAAGUUUUUUUCUCCCGCUUUUUUCAUGGUCGUGAGAUCAGGGAUGGUGAUGUAAAAGGUGUUGAACAUUGAAAUACCAAAUGAACCAUGCCUGAUAGGUCAAUCCAAGGGAUAAGCCAUUUGAUAGUGUCGCAGCCUGAUCCGAGAACCUUGUCGUGUCUAGACUUUAUUGGGCCGUAGUGACGAUCCGGUCCGACGUGAUUAUAUUUUUUAUUCUUAAAUUAUUAAUAUAUAUAUAUAUAUACUAGGUGAGUGCCCGUGCGUUGCAACGGGAACGUAUAAUACCACAACAAAUUAUGUACAAAUAUGUGUUGUAUUGUUAUUUUAAUCAAAGUAUUUCACCAGCACAUUGCAACCAUUAGUUCUAUAUAUGAUAGUAGAGUGUCGUGCAUCGCGAUAGAAUAUAAAUCAUUCAAUGAAAUAUUAGUUCACAACGAUUACUGAAGUUUAUUUUAUUGUUUGAUAUUGACUAUUUUAUGUAUUUCAACAGAUUCUUUAUCUUUUACUUACUUGCCAGUGGCCCAUGUUAUAUGAGGUUAGCAACAUUUUGACCCUCAUCCACAGACAACACUGAAGUUCUGAAUUGAAGCAAUAAUCUUAGACUUGUCAAACUUGCAUUUACCAUCACUCCCAGUGUAACGAUAAUCCUUCUCUCUUUCAAGGCCACCAGCCUUGGAGAUGACUGAAGGACGCGUCAUCUGCACACCAUUGCAUCCCGAAUCACAUAAAUCAGGUUCCGAUGAGUCACACUGCAACAUUUGCAACAAGAUUGGGGGAUAGUGAGUUUGGAUUAAUGUGAGGUAAACCAGGUACCAUUAUCUUCAAGCCAGCAACUAUGCAAAUUCUACUGCCCAAAACAUACAAAUAUAUGAUUGACAUCUCAAGGCUUUAGCUUCAUGCAUGUUCAUUACUCAAUAAUAAAGCACUGCAAAAUCACUUUGUCACAUUCAAGAAAAAUUAGCAAAAGCAUCAUCCAAAAUUAAAACAUUACAUCAUUGGAUCAGAUAUUGGUUAACUGACAUGUACAGUGAAAUUGCUUCUUGCCCAUGAUUCAGGAACUUUAGAUUCAAAAUAGCCAAAUAAUGAUCCAGAAGAUAUCAAAAAAAGCUCGUAAAUCUCUACUACUAAUAAUAACAAAAGUCACCUAUUGAGGCUGAACCAUGGAUGGCUAUUACAAUAGUAAGUGAACUCAUUGCGAUCUCCUGUUCAUAGGUAGGCCUAUGUAUACUUAACUGAUGACCCAAGACCAAACCAAAAUAAUCAAGAUUGAAACCGAAAUAUCCAAAACCAAAAAAUAGCCAUUAGUUCAGGAACUUAACUGAUGACCCAAGACCAAACCAAAAUAAAUAUAAAUGGAACUAAAACAACUCGGGUUUGUAGGGAGAAGAUCAGUACCUUGUGAUCCUUAGGCUUAGUGAAGAACUGCACAGUUGGUUUUGACCCAAGGGUCAGCAAGACACCAGAAACAAAGAGAAUCUGACAACAUGACAAGCAACAGUGCUUAUCAGUAAACAGGAGGCUAGAUUGAAGUCAGAAUCAGCCACCUCAUAUGCUCCUAAAAUGGCACCCUGCCACCAAAGCAGGUUGAAGAAAAACCACAGUACAGGGAUUUCUAGUAUUUCUCGAGUAUUGGUGUCAACACUAUGAUCUGUAACAUGGAAAAAUUAAUCACACUGACAUGACAUACAGUUCAUAUAUCUCAUUCUAAAAAAAGUUUGAGAAGCUAGCACCUUAUUUAUGUUGAUUUGUUGGUCUGCCUCAAUGCCUCAUGUUGGUCAGCCCCCAUAGUUAUAUUUUGGCCAGAGACCAUCAAUUCAGUUAGAACAAAGAUCAAGGAUGAACCAUGUUUCAGUAUGUAUGUUGAUAUAUAAAUAAAUUCUAGGGUGAAAACGAACGGAUAUAGAUGGAUAAUAUGUCAUCAUGUAUCCUACCCUAAUGUAUUUCAAUCGGAUUCGGGAUCGAAUACAACUGUGUGUAAAUAAAUAAUAAUAAGUUCAAUAGUUAAAAUGAACUAACCUGAUGCCCCUCUAUCACAUGACUCAAGGAACUACUUGAGAAGUUCUUGAUAAAACUCAGAAUCAUCAAUAAGUUCAGGAUCACCUUCCAUAAUGUGCCCCUGAGUUAUAGCAAAGGCGAUGAAAUAAGCCCAGGUAGUGUAGUCCGCAUUAUAUCUUCUAUUUGUACAAAUAGUAGCAUUCUGAUAGCAAUGUUAGUGUGACAGAUAAAUAACCAAGGUUAUGAUAGAAAAGGGGAAAUCAUCUCAGGGGAAGAAAUGAGCUUCAAUUAACUACAGGCCGUUACACUUCAGUAGACUGAAGGAGACCAAAUAAGGUUUGUAAUAUUUUUAAGGGAAAAUGUAGUAAAUGCUCGAACCUCCACAGCUGUUCCAGGUUCUCCCACGUCCUGAAAUAUGAAUAGGCAUUAGGUUAUGACCCAGUAUAACAUGAAGAACUCAAAAGGAAUAAAUUCUAAAGGUGAACUCCACCUCAUGGGGAUUGACCAAAACAACAAAAGUAACUCUGAAUCAAUGGGGACUAUAGAAGAUGGAUAGAGUAAAAUAUUCUGGAAGGACAAAAAAUUUGCUGGCUGUCUACAGAUUGUAAUCCAUACUCUAUACAUUUAAUCAAUGUCUUUUUUAGAACAAAAAUAUAUCCAGUAAAUGUGCACCAAAAUAACAUCAUGUUGUUCUAUUUUGUGAACAAGCAGAUAUCGCAUUAGCUUCAAUUGUUAACUGUUACUGAAAUAAAUCAUCAGAUGAAAGGUCAGCAGCUAGAAUGAAUAUUUACUGAAAUAAAUAGACAGCAGGUAUCUCAUUAGCUUCAAUCGUUAGAAUUCUAAUUUGAUAACCCAGAUAACAAUACAUACCAAAGAGCUUCCAGACAAUUCCUUUUUCAGUUGUGAAAGAUCAUCAUCAACAGAUGAAGUCUCAAGCAGUGCAAACUGUUCACCAAUAAAUAGAGACAGUCAUGUGAUAUUAGCACAAGGCAAGUAUUUAUAUUGGUUUGUAAAUGUUUAUUUUUACCUUUCCUUCUAAUAAAUCAUCAGUUGCUAACUGGUCGAGUGCCUCUGCUUGGGAUUCCAUCGCCAUAACUAAGCAUUAAAUGUGUAAUUAUUGCAUUAUUUGUUUGAAAACAACAUUCUAACAUUCUACCAUGGAAUAAAGCAUGUUGCUGACAAACACAUGAAGCAAGCAAAGAUACAGUAAGACACCAUUCCUGGCUAAAAGAAGACAUAUGGUAUGUGCAAGUCACAGCAGAUACAUUGCCGUUAAAAUGAAGUUUUUGAGUAUGUUGUUAUGCUUUGCCAAGAUCAUACUCAACUAACUCAAAUGCAUAGCGAGAGAUCCAAUAGAUGACUUGAGGAUGUAGUUAUGCCUUGUCAAGAUCAUACUUAUAACAACAAUAGGGCAUAGUGAAAUAUCCCACGAUCAAGCAAUAUCAUGAUACUAAAAUAGAAAAUCAUGUUCUAAAGGCUUGGACAAAAGGCCAAAAAAAUGACAGACCCAGUGUUGGCGGCUCCCACAUGAGUAGGGUCUGGGGAAGAAAAAUCGAGGCAAGCCUUACCCCUGCAUUUUUGCAGGGAGGCAGCGUCAAACCAGGACCUUUGGCUCAGUGAAAAGACUUCUCACCACUGCGCUGGGCUUAUCAUUCAAGAGUCCAAAAGAAGAACAUUUGUAGAAUUACACAUCUAUGCAAGGAGCCAUCUUAGUGCAUCUUGGUAAUGUAGAGUUUCAAGCUAUGUUUGACAUCAAGUAUUAGAGCAUCUCUUCCCUAAACCAAAACCAAUGGCAGAAGACCAGACAUGCAAAAAAGUAAUAUCAUCAUAUAUAUAAAACUGAUCUAAUAAAGAACGGUACCAAUGAGCGAGAGAUAUUUACCGAUCUGUCAGGUAAGAUGAGCGGCAAUUCAAUCAUUCAUAUCAGAAUCGUCCCAUCCCCAUCCCAACCGUGCUUUGUUAUUUUCCUAAUUUUUGUGCCAGGCUUGUUCAGAUCCAGGAACCUGCGUCAACAAAAAAAUUGUGGGAUUUAACUUGCUCCGCAAAUAUAAACGAAGGGAGACACUUCACUCACAAGUACCACUAAUAAGAAUUGAGAGUUCAUGAGACUAAUAAAAGGAGACAAAAUGUCAACUACACAUUCAUGCUAUUUAAUUGCUGAACGAAAUAUUGAUCCAUACUUGGAAAGUGCAAGGUUGUACCUCAUUGGUGUAGAUCAAGUGUCCUCAAACAUUUGCUAGCCUUGAAGCCAUUCAUGUUUGGUACUAUGUUUUAUCUACAUAAAACAUAGCCACCUUUUAUUAGUCUCACAAGUACCAUAAGAUUGGCUAAAGGCUUCAUUGUAUAAUCAAGACAGAAAGUGUAUAUCCACCUAAUGUCUACAAACUAUAAAGAAGAAACUGUUUUGGAUGCAUUUUUUAGAACAACAACACGUCAUUGUGAGGUUAGGGUCGUCUUGGUCGUAGUGGCUAAGAUGUCCCAUAAAAGACAUUAGAUAUGUAAGCAAUGUAUCUGUAAGCAAUGUAUAUCAUUAAAAUUAAAAGGCAUAGUGAAUAUGUACCAAGCGGGCUUAGCUGAGCAGAAGAUAUUGAAGUCUCAUCUGUCUUUUCACAGCAUUUGUUAUGAAACCCUAUACAUUGCAAUCACCUUAAUGAGAUGAUGACAGUAGAAAAUGAGUACAACUUUUUGUCGAAUAUUUCAUCAGUGUCUCUCAUCAUCAGAAAUCAUGACUACACAAGGUGAGCACACCACCAACUCUCAGCCGACCAAACCCAAAGAAGUUGCUCCUAUUUCCAUGUGCGAUGUAGGUAACCGAUGCAAUAUUUGGUGGGAAUAGGAGAAAAUCUAGGUUACCUUGAUGGGGAGAACGGUGCCUCGUUGGAUUGGUCGCCCGCGUGGACCUAGAGGUGGACGUGGGUGGAGAGGAAAUAGGGUGACCGCUUGAGCAUCUCCACGAGCUGCUUCCUAUCGGUGGUGAGGAGCUGCCGGUGGGCGACUCCGUUCCCUGGCACAACGCUCGACGAUGACCUUGUCGUCCUCCCCCAUGUCGGAAAUAGGAUGAAGAGUGGGCGUGGGCGCGCGGAAGAGGAUGAGGAUGGGGAUGGCCACCAAACGCAGAUCUGACCUGACCCAAGUGCGGACGGCGGUGGAGAUCACGGGCGAGGGUGGUGAAGACGCGGCGGCGGAGAUCACGGGCGAGCGUGGGCGGGGGCGCGCGGAUGAGGACGGGCCGCCAAACGCAGAUCUGACCUGAACCAAUUGCGGACGACGGCGAAGACGUGGCGGCAGAGAUCGUGGGAGAGCGUGGGCGAGGGCAGGUGUUUGACGGGGGCGGAGGCGAGGGCACCAUGGCACGGGGGGGCAUCACACCGGGGGAGGGAGAGGGGGCGCGGAGAUGGCGGUGUGGUAGGGGCGUCGGACGGAGGCGGGGCCGCGGGGGUACUUGUCACGGUGGGGGAGGCGGGCGGAGGCCUCGCGAGCGUGGUGGAGAGGGGCGCCUCCACCGUGAGAGCGUGCCGAGACCGGGCGAGCGGGCGGGAUCCAUGCGCGGACACGACGAGAUCCGGGCGAGCGGGCGUGCCGGGAUCCGCGGCACCGCGGCGGAGAUCACGGCGAGGUGGAGCCCAGGCGAAGAGAGAGGCGGUGUGGGGAGGAGGGCCGGGAUCCGCGGCACCUUCCAUCGGCGGCAAGAAGACCUUCCGUCCGUGCGCCACCAACAGAACCGUGCACCACUCAAAUGUGUGGACGCCUACACUCCGCUCUUAAGGAGUAGUAGGGAUAGUAAGCUAAGACAACAAUGGCUGAAAGUUAAAGGAAGCACUGAAAUCACCAAUGCUUCAGCUUAUGGAUUUUCUUGACCUCAUACCGUGUGUGGACCAAAAUAUAGAUAAACAGAACUUAAGUACUUAACUAUGCAACAUCACACAAUAAAGAGCUGAAUGCAACCAACAAAGGAAGCAUUUUAAAUAGUAACCUAUGAAUCAUCCAUGUUCUUAUUGAAUGAACUGAAUUUCAUGGCAUCAUUGGAGUGCAUGGAUGCCUUCUCUCCAAAUAAAAUAGCAACAAGGUUUGGACAAGGUCCUGUUUGGACAGCCCUGCUAAGUACAAUACAUUGAAGACCAAAAACUACACUUCACCAGCUAUGAUAAGCAAAUCAAGUGUAUAUACACGGAUUGGAAACACAGUCUUACCGGUAGGAACUUAUAGCACGCUAUUCAGCUCGCUCCUCUAUAAUAAAAAUAUAGCACAUAAAUAUUUUUUCAUGACUAACAAUAUUAUAUAAAUAUAUUCUACAUAAAACUGUAUUAGCUUAAUUGAUCUAUAUCUAAAUUACAAUUAUUAGAAUGGAAUCCAAUUCCAAGCAUCCAAACCGAGCGUUAGGGUAUUGUAAGCAGGAAAUCAAUGAAACGAAUAAUAUUUAAAACUUGGUCAGCACUUAGAAGUUAAGAAUGACAUAACAUAAUUAUCCUGUUUUAGCAAACAUACUCUGAACCAAAUACUCUUAAUAUUUAUACAAAUGGAGUGACUUGUCCUGGAUAUGAGUGGAUGGUGCUUGUACAUUAUACUUCAUGUAAAGAUUGCUCAAGUGGGAAUCAAGGCAUGUCACCUAAUGUGGAAUUACUGGCCAUCUGAUGUGCUUAAAAUUUAUUUGAUGAAGUACUGUAGGGUAUAACACAAUGUGAUGGACCUGGCUAUCACCAGUGGUCUGUUUAGAUAAGGACCUCGUAUUAGUACCCUAGGUUACUAUGUGAUAUGAUUGUUUUUCUUGGGAUUAAUUUAGAGCCUAAAGUUUGGAAUGCGGUAUCCUCUAAUCAAUGAAUAGGCAUUUGUGGCCAGCUCACAUAUUUGCAGGGUUACCUUCGAAGCUCGCAGUUCAUUCGCGGCCGUUCGGAGAGAAUCAUCUGACAGAAUCAAUCUUGACAAAGCACCAGUGCUUAGGCUGCAUUAUGGUCAUAGUUCACCGAGAUAAUUAUGAGGUGGCUUGAAUGUAAAACUAUAGCAAAUAUACAUGAUGUCAUCUAGCAUCUGUGCGCAGCAGUGGAAUAUAGAUGUAACGUGUUACCCUAAAAUCUUUGCUGCAUCUGAUACAGAACCUUCAACAGCAAACAACAGGUCUAAUAAUGCUUGCAUUUCCUGCCCAGUGGAAAACGAAGUACAAAGGGAGGUGUUUAAAUAUGCAAAUCGCAAGGACCAAUGACAGCAAAACACAUGCAUAAUGCAUUAGCCAUUGAAUUAUAACAACAGGAACAUACUGGAGAAAAUUUUGAGUUAUUUGGACCGAUUUGGGGGCCAACAUCUUUUCCUCUAACGCUGUACUUCAGGGGUAAUAUCUGAAGAAGCUCAACAGGUGGAGUGUAGUCUUCCAGGUUUAUCGGCCUCCUAACUGAAGCACUGCGCCAUUAAUGAUCAUGGAAAUUAAAUCCAUCAGGCAGCAUAAGAACUUAGGGGAUGUUUGGUUUCUAAGGACUAAUUUUUAGUCCCUCCCAUAUUUGGCAAUUUAGGGAUUAAAUAGAAUAAAAUGGAGGAACUAAAAAUUAGUCCCUAGAAACCAAACAUCGCGGUUAAAUUGGAGGCAUAUGAGCUCUUAUGAAGCUGCACUAUGAUUUGUAUGUGACUCAUGGUCACUUAGGGGGUGCUUGUUUGGGAUUAUAAUCUGCCCAGAUUAACUAACAGUUCAAAAAAACAGUUCAAAGUUUGUUGGAUUAUAUAAUCUGGGCAGAUUAUAAUCCCAAACAAGCACCCCUUAAGAUGUUUCUUAAAUUAGUUGAACAGACCUAUAGUUCCUUUUCUGAAACAACACAUAACUUGGAGAACAUUAGAUUCUUUUACCUUUAAGAGCAAUCAGGGUUCGAAGCCGAGAUAAAGCAGACGCUCGGUUCUUAUGUUGUGACCGAUCCUCCACAACUUGUGUGGAAUUUUACGGGAAAAAAGAUUAAGCAUUCAGUUUGUGUGAAGUUCAACUGAUUCGUGAUUGCAUAUCCAACCUUCUCCUCAUUCAAAUUCUAGGAACAGAUAAAUCAUUGUACGAAGCGAUCGAGGUAAUUGAGAAUUUAAGCUAAUUCAGCAAGGCUACCGACCUGGGCGAUGAUGCCGGUGGGAAGGUGUUUCAGCCGGACGGCGGACUCGCGCUUGUUGCGGUGCUGGCCGCCGGGGCCAGACGCCUUGAACGUGCCCAUAUCGCACUGCUCCAUGAGCUCCUCGUCGCUCAUCCCCAAGUUGCCUUAGUUGCAAAAACAGUUGGCAAACAUACUAUUACAUAAGCAUUCCAAAAGAAUCAUAGACCAUGUAAGAUAAGCCAUCACUGCUGAGCCAUCCACACGUGAAGGAAUGGAUUGGACGAGCGCACUCCUUUCCCCCCUCUUUUUAUGGUAUUCUAUUUUCUAUUCACCCUCUGCUACCUGAUGGUUCUUAUGUCAAAAAUUACAGAUCAUAAAAAAAGAAAGCAUAAAUAUUGCAAAAAUGAAAGUAACAUAUGAUAGCCUAAUAACAGUAAUAACAUAUACUGCAUAUAUUUCACUCUAGCCUAGGAGUCAAUGUUAUCUAAUUACACUUGCAAAAGAGGGAGCAUAUGCUAUACACAAAAGAGCAAAUGAUAAAUUGAUAUUUGUUUGGAUGUAUCAAGGUUUUAUGUUCCUAUUCUAAUAUAUAAAAACUUGCAUCCCCUAAUUGCAGACCAGUUGGCACUUUAGGGGAGACCUCCCUGGAGCAGAGAUAUGUCAAAUGAAGUAUAUUGUAGCUACCUGUUAGUACCUUAGGGAGACAUUCCUGGAGUCGAAUCUCCGAUUUGUCCGGCCAGCAUGAGGGACUACAGCCCCAUUAUAAGGCGGCUGCAUGUUAGAGAUCAUAAAUUUUGUGCUGAGGAAGUUUGACCUGGAAAUGACGACAAAUAUCUCGAUUAGGCGACAUAAUCAGACAAACCAGGCAAAAACAAGACAGUCAACCCAUUCACUUGCCUUUCAAUUCUAUUACCUCAGCUUUCCAAUAUAUGUUGUCAGCAUCAUAUAUGUUGUCAGCAUCCAUCGAGAUAAUAUACUCGUGCAGCUUGUUUUGCGGUUCCUUCUAGCUGAUAAGAGGAACUCGCCACUCUCCGUAAGUACAGCUGACCCAGAGGGGUAAAAAAGGAGUGACCAAUUGCAUUCCAAAUAGAAAGAAUGUUGGGCAGAAAUGAUGGGAAGACACAGGCAGAACAGAGACCAGAAUGUCUACUUGACACUAAUAGAUAUUUGCCAAAAUCAUCCUACGAAUUCACCAACAGUAAAGGAUCUAUUCAUACAAGCAAAAUAAAGGCACAACAUACCAGUGGUCAGGCACAAGUAGAGAUGAUAUGUGGUCUUCGAUUUAUCUCGCUUUAUGAAACAUUGAAUCUCGCUUUAUCUCGUAUCCCUGGCGCCGGAGCUCGGCGAAGAGCUCGAGCGCGCGCUCGUACUGGCCCGCGCGGGAGAGCGCGUGUAGCACGGUGUUGUAGGCGCGGACGUCCCGGCGGGAGCGGCGUUUCGUCGAUCCACCCCACCACCCCACCACCGCCCGCCAGAUCUGCGACGUCGCCUUCUCCCGCCGCUGCUGCGCCGCCGCCGCCGCGAUCGGCGAGUACACCUCUGCCGCCGCCAUAGACGACAGAGACGAGCUGUCGCGCCACGUGGAGCUUCUGGUCCGGGAGGCUGGAGACCGGGAGGACGGAGGGAAGUCGAGGACAGAGGGAUGGCGAGGCCGGAGGCAACCGGAGGAGGAGGUGGUGCCAUGGUGGUCGGUCUCCACGCCCGCGCCCGUGUGCGUGGUGGGGAGCGGAGAGAGGAGCAGUUGCGAUCGAUGGAUGGAGGAGGCUUGAAGCGGAGGCGACGAGAUGGAUGGUGAUGAUUUGACGCAUAUAGAUGGACAGUGUAGAUUGGCUGAAGGCAGAACCAGGGGGAGGCAGCCUACCCCUUACAGCCUUAAUAGGUAGUAUAGAUAUAUAUAUAAUAUUCUUUGUGUUGCACAAAUACACAUGAGCUUCACCGGAAAAGACGAGCGUUUUGUUCUCUAUUUGAAUGGUCAGGGUUUGAACCCACCUCAUCGCCCUCUAUUUUUUUUUUUGUUUAUUUUCCUAAUUUAGGGAGGAGGAGGUCUACAGUAACUUAAUUCAAAUACCUAUUCUUUUAUUCUUCUAUUUUUUGAUCCAAAGAAUAAUAAAAUCAACAUAAGUUCCUAACUAAAAAUGUGAUUUCUAAAAAUUUUAUUGCAAUUCUUCGAAUUCUCGAACAAACCCUAUCCAAUAGAAUAUAAUAUAAAAAAUUUAAAAUUCGUAAAUUAAGUAAUAAAAUAUAGAAAAAUAAUUCAAAAAUACAAUCCUUAUCUACCUUUUCUUUCUGUAGAUGAAGGAGGCCUACAGCGCACGCGGGCGCCUGCAGCCUUGUAUGCAGGCAUGCGUGUGUGCAUGUAAGAUUUGGAUGCGUACACAUGGGUGAAGAGGACGAUGCACGAGGAAACUAUUUUAUAUCAGUAAAGAUAAUGCUUUGAUCUCGUCUUGGGCAGGACUUAGCAAAAAAGAACUGCAGGAUCUUCUUCAGAAGGGAGCGAGACUUCUGGUGGGGGCUACAAGUUCUGGAGGACUGACGCGCUUUAUGUAUGCUUCGUUUCAGAAUGCUGGCGGUUGUGAAGCGUCUGUUUUUAUCUAAAUACAGUCUUUAUAUAUCUUUUGUGGUCAUCGAAUCUUGUUGCAUGUCGCUUUCUUGUUCUACCUGUCAUGGACCAUAUAUCCUGUGGAAAACUAUCUCUUGCCCCAUCCUAUCAUUUUGCACGGUUUGGUCAUGUAAUCUGAAUCAGAUUCUCUGAUCAGACUAGGUGAUGUUACUAUUUGUCGUAUGUGCAUCAGAAAAACUUUUGUAUUUCUGUUAUGAUAUAAUAGAAACGGGGUAAUCCUCUUGUCAAAAAAAAUAUCAGUAAAGAUAAGUCCUUUAAAGUUAUUUUAUUUAUAAGUCCUUUUCUUGAUGUAUUGAUCUUUUAAAUUCCUUCAUAUAUUUUGUCUAAGUCUAUGUUAUGUCCUUUGAACUCUGUAAAUAAUCAUUUAAAGAAGUUGUUAGUCUAAAUAGAUAUCCUGAUCAUCAAACAUCAAAAUCAAUAUUAAAAUAGUCUGGGAUCCAUUUCCCUUACAAUCUAUUCUUUUUUGGCGAUUAAUAAUAACACAACCAAAGCAAGCAAGAAAUAAUAUAAACUUGUAAACUACUUGCUAGGAUGCAUGCACAUAUAUAAGAUUUAGAAGAUACUUGUCAGUACCCUAGAACAGGGGUACCCGUUACUACAGUAUGAAGGCGCGGCGUCCAUGCGGAUAUCUUUAGUCGCGUGGCGAACAACACCUGACCCCACCACGUGGACGGCUCCAGAGCCGCCACGUGGCCAGGAAAGACAAUAUACUCCAUGGUGUCAACAGUAGGUCCGGACCCCACGGGAAUGUGCCGGACCCUUGGAUACACGGCCCGAACCUCCGGGCAGGGUCCAGGACCUCCGCGAGUACAGUCUGGACCCCCGAGACGGGUCCCGGACCUCCCUGUGUGGGACCCAGGUCACUCACAACAAGGUCCCGGGAUUCUAGGAGGAGUACCCAGACCUUAAUCAAGGCCAGGCAGGGGGUCCGGAGCCGACACAUGUCUGAACCAUAUUGCAUACGCCUCUGCUCCCCGCUCAGGCGGAGACCCGAUGCUGCCACGUGGCCAGCUGCCUGUGACGUAAGCCAACGGGCGGAGCCGGACGUAAAGCCUCUGGGCCGCGCGCAUUUAUUGCGGGUGAGGCGCGCCGCCUGUCAAACUGGCAGGUGAUGUGCCGCCUCAGUAUUAAAUGCGUCCUGUCUACUCCACUGACAAGCGAUGUGUCGCCUCAGCAUUUAAUGUGCCCUGUCACUCUGCUGGCAGACGGCGACCAAACCAUCCCGCAGGCGGCGUGCCUGUCCAUUCCCGUGGCAGGCGGCACGUCCAUACUGUCGCAUGUGCCACGCUCAUCAUCACUCGUACGUUGUCAGGGAAGCUUCCGCUGGACGCCAAUGCUACGCGGACCGCGGAUAUCAGGGCGCAAGAAGAUGGCACUAGCGACCAGGAUCAGCUACUCCAAGUAUUACAUCUGUUAUGUCUCUAGGCCCGCAUGUCGGGGCUCAGCACCCUUGUACGUGCCCCCCCUUCGAGCUAUAAAAGGGGAGGCACUCAGCGUUACAAGAGGACUCAAGCUCACUCAGACACACUUAGACCCAGCUCAGGCUCACAAGUUCAUACAAGCUCCCAAGCUCAAUACAUCACACAGUGGAGUAGGGUAUUACGCUCCGGCGGCCUGAACCACUUUAAAUCCUUGUGUGUUCUUGUGUUCUUCCCGUUUCAACCUAACAGGCAAAACGCUUAGGUCUCUCCUCAUCUAAGGAUUUAGGGCGGGUGCAUUCCGCCACCCGGCCGGAGAUUUCCUCUCCGACAAUACUAAAGGUAAGCUUGUACAAAACUUAAACCUUUAAAAGAUUUUUUUCAAGAUUUUUUCCCCGUUUUCCUUUAAAACUUGUUGUUUUAGGCUUUUUAAAAUUCCCCCCCUUUUUCCUUAAAAGAUACUGAUUUUAAGGCAUGUGAAAAUUCUGCCCAUGAAAGAUUUUUCUCAAAACUUUAUCCAUGCUUCUUUUGGCCUUCUAAAAAUUUCUUACCCCUUACUCUUGAAAGAGGAUUGUUUUGCAAAGAAAAAUUAAAAGAGUGAUUGACGGUCAUUGUUGCUUUAGCAUGUGAACUAUCUCCUUUGAAAUCAAACACCAAAAAGAAAGAUAUCUAGUGGCCCUUAGAAAUUCUCUGUUAAAGCUAGUUUGGAAACCUCAUUUUUUCAAGUGUUUUUCAUGUUCUCAAGUGAAAUUAGUUUAUUUUAUCUUGAGAAAAUAGGAAUUCCUUGAAAAUUGUAAUUCCUAAACUAGCACUUAGGUAAGAUUUAGGAUAUUUAUGUAAAUAUAAAUCGGAGAACAAGUCUGAUACCAAUCAUUUCACAGUGGAAGCGUGUUUUUUUCUCCGAGGAUUCUAUUUUCCGAGACUACUAUACAUAUGAUAAACUUAAAAACAAUAUUAGUCUCAAAAGACACCAGAUUAUAGAGUAAUCUCUCCCUAAAAUUAUGCAAAAUAUAUGCAUUUAGACUUUUGAGGUCAAGGGAACAGGUUAUCUAAAUCUAAAUUUGAACAUUAGCACACAUAUAUAAUAAUAUGAUCAAUUAAAAGUACUAUUUGAAAGUUCAUGAUCAACGACGUAUAUGAUCUCCAACUUUUUAUUCCGCGUAGCUGUUCAUAUCGGAUCCAUUUUCAUCCAUGCAUUUGUUGUGUUCUUUAACAAUUGCAACGAACAGUCACAUAUCAGAGACGAGAUUAUGUAUAUCAGUAUAUUACAAAUCAUACCAACUGACCCACUAAAAGAAGCAUCAACGUAUCCUUCAAGUGAAACAGAAGGCAAGUACAACCUGAUCACAAUUUGCAAUGCCAGGUGCGCCUGUCUUGGUUUAACGUUUAAAAAUACAUGAAUCACUAUGGGUAUCCCCAGAUAUGCUCUCUGCUUGAUCACAUCUCCAGGUGAGUGCAGUAAGAAUUUGAUCAGAAACAGUAGUGCUGAAAUUGCUACGCUAAGUAGACAGUGCGUCGUGAAUUAACUUGUUUGCAACCUCCUUUGACAGCCCCAUGACACUGUCACUAGAACCAACCUGCACAAGUCAAUGAGGUAGUAAACAUUUGUAUUAAUGGAAACAAAAACCCUGUAAGACAACCAAGAUAAGGUGCAUGAGACACUGACCACUGCUUCGACAAACGGCAGCGUCAAUGGAUGUUCAAGCAGCAAACCACCUGCGACCCUAAAUACUACUCCCUCAUCGAUCUAACAAAGAGUGCAGAGAAAAACUCAGUGACAUAACAACAUGGCAAAUAUGAAAAUAUUGAAGCUCGUGAUGCUAAUCCUGCAAUUUUUUUGAUUGCAGCUAUUUAUAGAAGGCGUGCAAGUAGAAUAAAAUGAGAACAUACCAAGCUCUUGAUGACCUCAUCUGGUAUAUCGUGGAAAUAAACCUGCACAGUGUAGAAUGAUAAUGCAAAACUUCCUUGGUCAAUUAUCAUCCAUAAAUAUCACAUUCAAGACAAAAACUUCCUUUUCACACAAUAAAUUUGAAGAACCUCAUCUACCAAUAUUCAUCACCCUACAUUGGUGAAUUCAUUUCUAUUAAAUAAGUAUUACCGAUAUUAGAGAUUACGCAUCUAAAUUGGACCAUAUAUCCUUCUGCACUAAUAAAUCUGAUUUGAAUGGCAAUAUAACAAAAGUAGCCUUGAUGAAAGAGUCUUUUGGCUAAAAAGUGAAAAUUGCCUCAGCUUUGUCCAAACUUCCAAGUCUCUUCCCAGUUGUAAGAUUAGUUACAACAACAGACCCAACAGUUGACACGUGACCUCCGGAAUAGCCUUGAGAAGAUAAUGAUUCAAUUAAUUAAAAACGCAUUAAAACAUUGUGAAUUGGAUGUUUUGUUGACAACAAACCUUUCAGGAAUUGCCGUGCUUCUUCCUUGGUGGUUGGUUUUUCUCUAAUAAUCCCUUCAUGGACGACCACCUCAAAGUCAACUACAAUUCAGUAUGCAAUCAUACGAAUGAUAACAUUCUAGCAAAAACAGAUGAGAAGAUACAUUCCACCACAACCAUGGAAUAAUAAUUCCACCCAAAUUAGGAAUGCAGAGGUAAUCGAGACAUACUAUGUCAGAUGUGAUCAGGAGUGUUGGUUGACUGCCUUCUUUCUGAUAAUCAUCAAUGUUCAAUCUGGACAUGAUAGCAUCAGCCUGAAAGAUGCUUAAAGUGGUUAAUUCCAUGCUGGGGGAGAAAAAAACAAUUGAUGAUAGAAAAAACAGCCAUGGCCCAAUUUGGUUGGACAUUUCUUCCACCACCUUGUUCUCCGACAGAAAGAAGUAUUAGUUUUCAUGUAGCUUUAAAAACAAGUAUGUGUGCAAAAUUUGUUUGUCUAACACUAACAAAACUGAAACCCAUGUUGAAGUUGAUCCUAAUUCAGGCAGACUGAUGUAGUCAACUAAAUGGGCCAAGGAACAAGAAAAAAAUGUGAAUGCCAUCAAUUGCAACACAUUGCUGGACCAUUUUGCGAAUUUAAUUUGUUGUGUAAUAUCGUAUUCACCUAGAAAAUUUACAUGCACUUUAAGGAACUUCCUAAUUUAUGCUUCAGAUGGCCACCUAAAGCAGUUGCAAACUUGGCCAACUUAAGCCCUGUUUGUUUCGUACUUCAUUUUCAGAAUUUCAUUCUAGAAUCCCAUUAUGAACCAAACACCUCUUAAAUUCUGCAUUGGAUUGUGUGCCAGAAUCUCAGAAUCUAUCCAUAACCUGAUAAUGGAUUUUGCAUUGGGUUUUGUACAGUAUCCAAUACUCAAAAUCUGCUAGGAACCAAACGCCGCCUUAAUAGCUAUCAACUGACCCAUUACAACAUAGUUAGAAGAUCAACAUAAAUCAGACCCCAAGUGAACUUUAGUCAUAAAUUUGCACCAAAAUUUCACAGAAGCUACAAAAAUCCUAAAAUUAUAAACAUUUUUUAAUGAUGUUUAGGAUCACUCAAUCGCUCAACAACUAAUUUAUAUCAUGUAACGGAUGAACACCUCAUCUUUUCAACUAAGUAUCUCCACGGUGCACUGCGCAUAUUGAGAUGGCAAACAGGCCUCAUGCCCUCAUUGCAUAGUUAUGCACUGAAACAAUACUUACUGAGUGAAAAAAAUAUAUAUACAUGCAUAAAAAGAAUAUGAAUGGUAGGUUGAGAAACCAAAUUGCAUCCUAGAAACUCCUAGAAAUUUUAUAAAACAAUUUAACUUUAUUUAAAAGUAAUAAUGGUGGUAUGGUAAAAACUAAUGGUUUCGUUAGAAAUCAGCACAUAAAAUAAGUCUUUCAAUUCUUGUUUUACAUUCUUUUAGAGAUCUGAUGCUCCUGGAUUAGUCAUGCAACUUGAGAAUUUCAGGAGGCAGCUGAAGCAGUUAGUAACAAAAUACAAAACCAAAAAAAAAUCCAGAACAUGAUGAUUCAUCCAAGACAUCAUAAUCAUCGUGUGAAACUUUUCACACACACAAGUAUAAUUAUAUGAUCAAUGCCUUCAGCAGUCUUGACUCUUGAGGAGAGGAUCACUUUCUUUGUUGCUGGAUGGCUAGGUUCAGCACAUGACCAUGUAUAUUGAUUAUUGAAUGACACUUUGGUCCAGCAUUCAAAUAAAAAGUUUCCACUACCCCUGAACCUGAAGUAUACUUUAUUUGUUCCCAGCUCAAUUCAUGCACAAAAUUCCUGCAUUCACUGUUGAACAUUGUUUCUAUGUAUUCAGGUUUUUUUGCGAACUACUCAGAGAAAUAUUAUCUUGUUGAUGAGGGGAAUUCCAAUAGAAAGACCUUUUACAGGUCCUUGCAAACAACAAAAGUACCAUCUAUGAACUCUUAUGUUCCUUCUAGUGCAGAUUGAGGAAAAUGUAGUAUACCACAUAGUAUCAUAUAACACAAGAUGAGGAACAAUAUUAGGACCGUCUUACUGCAAGAAGAACAUUAUAGCAAAAAGUUGCAGCGCCCAGCAACGCAUUUGCAAUUGAACCAUACAAAUCUUCACAAUGGCAACUGGAUGUAAUUAAUUCCCGAGUUUGUAACACUGAAGGUCAGAAGCUACAAUAUAGCACAACGCAGCAUCGCCAAAGGGGGUUGGGGAGAGAAUCUUGUGCCUACCUUGGCCUCCGCGAGGACCAUUACCAGGUCAUCGGGAUUCUCCCUCCUGAUGCUCUUCUCGUCGAUGUCAGCAGUCUGAACCCACAGAAAGGCAAACAUAUCCCAUAAAUAUUCCAUUUCGCCGUCAGAAUCAGAGCGGUCAGCGGUGGGAGCACGCGAAGGAGCAGCACGACCCACCAUGACUUGGAACUCCAGCCCCAUCUCCUCGAGGAUGUGCUUCCGCGCCACCGAAGACGACCCUAGGAUCAGCUGCGACGGCCGGCAGGACGAAUACACAGACGACCGAAGGUCAGGACAAGUGGAGGAAUAGGAGCGGGUUGUUGCCGGAUUGAAAUUAAUGAGGGCGAACCUUGAAGGGCUGCUGGCUGGCAGGGGGGGACGAACCCGCCGUGGCCAUGGGACUCUUGCGCGCGGUGACGCGAGGAGGGUCGCGUCGGCUUCGGUCGUCGGCUCGGUGGGGUUCCGGGAAGACGGUGGCAGGCUGGCAGCGCUGCUGGGAACAGAGAGUGGCAGCCGCAAAACCUGUGGAAGAGGAUAUGGCCCCGGGACUGCUGGGCUGGGCCCCGAGGAACAGAGUGCUGGGCAUGAGAAAAUUGCAAUUACGCCCACGGACGUUCAACCACGGACAAGGCAUGUUUGUGUGGAGAUGGCAACAACUCGGGAUCCGUCCGCAAGUAUAUUCAUGAUUGCAAUCAAUAUUCGUUUGUAACCAUACUUAUAGGUAAAAAUUUAUAUCCAUGUUUAUAUUUAUCAUAUUUUAGAUGUCCGUUGGAUACGAUAGACACAAUCAUUUUUCAACAAUUCAAUAACAUAAUUAAUUAAAUUUCUUUUUAAUUCAUCAUCAUACAUAAUUUAAAACUUAAUAAAAAAAUUAUUAUGCAUAUGUGGCCUACGAUCAGGGCACUGAACCUUGAAAGGGCUAGCCGCCAGUGUAGCCUAUGGGAUAUGGAAGGGGGGCAAGUACAACACACGAAGCCAGCAAGGCUAGAAUGGGUGACCAAUUGUGAUAAAUUGGGAACGUUGGGUGUGGUUUAUGAAGUUAGGGUUUACUCUUUGUUGUAAAAUAUGGGCUAGGUAAAAAAUAAACUAUGGAUCAAUUUCGGAUAUCCAACGAAUAACCCGCGGGUGAGGUAACAUCCUAAUUCAUGCUCGUCUGACGUUGGGCCAGAUACGGAUCAGACCAACGGGUCGUUGGUCCAAAAAAUAUAUCCAUACCUGACUCAGUUGGGUCGGAUAUCCAACGGAUAUCCGAAUCCACGGGUCAAAUUGUCAUCACUAUUUGUGAGUAAAGCGUUUUUGUUUGUUAGGCAAUAUCAUGGUUUAUAAGAACAUUAGAAUAUUUAUGCCAUGAAGUGUUUGAUUGCAUUACUAUACACUAUGUUUUAAAACCAUAAUAUUUUAGAUACCAUAAUAUGUUAGAUACCAUGAUAUUUUUAGAAUAUUGAAAACUUUAUUUCAAUCUAAAGUUAUCAUGGCAUGGUUUGAUUUUGGCUAGAUACCGUUUUACAAUGUUGUAUCCAAACAAUGUUUCUCGAACCAUGGUAUUUUUAGAGCCGGACAAUACUAUGAAUUGUAAAGUGUGGUUUUGAAAAACAAUGUUACCAAACAGACUUUAAGUAAUUAAGUAUUUAAUCUGAAUUUAGCUAAACGGUUUGUAAGUAUUUUUAAGGUGUUUAAUGUUUGCAUGUAGCCAUGAUCAAUCAGUAUACUAUUGUGUUGCCAUUGCCAACACAGUUCAAAUCUAGUUCGAAUACAGCUAAAAUUAUCUUGCCAAUCAAAUGCACAUCGGCCAUCUCUUCUGUUAAAACUCCAUGGAGUUUACCCGUGCUCUCCAUGCAUCUCAUCAGACACCCCGUCUAUCACUUCAACGUAGAGUGCACAGCGUAUUGUAGACUAGUCCUGGAAAUAUGGGUCGGCCUUUAUAGACCAACACGAACACGGUCUAAAAACAGGAUCCUAAAGUACGGCUCGGCACGAAAUAAUAUGAGUCGGAUUAGCACGACCUGAAGACAGGUCUGAGCCGGGCCUCCAAUUCUGGAUGUCGGGUCCCGGCACGGCCCGCACAGAUAGACUGGACUUGGUAUGGCACAGCCCAUGAAGCCCAUGUUGUUUGUUUUUUAAUUAGUAAGCUACGGACUUUAUAUAAUUGUGAUAUUUAUACUUUGCGUGAUCACAUUAUGCUAGGAUUGUUUAAUAUCUUUAAUAUAGUAAGAGCAUCUCCGAGUCGUAACAAGAAGUCGUGUAUUUGAGUCCUUAAAAUUAAAUUAGGAUGAUUUAAAAUAUUUAGGGCCACAAAAUUGUUUGCAGCUCCAACAGUUGAGCUCUAUACCUUAUUAUUAGGAAAUAAAUUAUGUUAUUUAAGAAAUAAAAUGUCAGAAAUAGUAUACAAAAUGAGUAUACAACUCCGAUAUAUAGAGUACUAUAUUUAGAACCCAAGAGGUCGAGUGCUAUAAUCGUUUGACGAUUUUUUUUUUGUAAAAUAGGACCACUGUUGGAGUAUAUUUUCGGUGCUAGAGUCCUAUAUUUGAAAAUAGAACCCUGAUUAGAGCUUUUGUUGGAGAUGCUCUAAGUUAUAAAUUUUAUGUGGUUGUAAUAUUUUGAUUUUAUGUGAUCAAAUAAAUGGGUCGGUCUUGAGCUAAGACCGAUACCUAUAACGAAGGCACGAUGCGGUUUAGGAUCAGGCUAGACCACUGUUUUUAUAUUUCUAACGGGCACAAUAUGAUCUAAAUUUUUUUAAGCUUUCUUUAUCCGAAACUGUUUAACACGAUACACUCAGUUCGAUCCAGAGCGGUCCAAUUCCCAGCAUAGUGUAGACACGCACCCAGGGGCCAAGGCUGAGUACUAGCACUAACACUCUCGCCCAUGUAGCCACUACGCACGUCCCUAUAUAUGUCUGUUGCCCAUACCUCCUGGCAGGCUACUACGGUACUACCAUCCAGUACCUUCCCUUGUUCUCUCCCCCCCCCCCCCCCCCCCCCCCCCUGCAAGAAACGCCCGGCAAGCUUUCCCCUCCGUCGCAACAAUUCGUUCAUCCAUGACGGAGCUCGUCAACAAGAUAUUGGAUGUGUUCGAGCACGAGGAGACGCUGGACGCCGGAUACAUGUGCUGGCCGAGCUCGUCCACACUCCUCAGCAUCCUCUUCAUCUUCACCCAUCGGCGUCUAUGCUGUCAUAGCCGUCGGUGCAUCCACCAAGCUUCAUCGUCCUUCUUCCUCCCCGGUGUUCCCUCGCCUGCAUGGCUGCAUCCUCCUCCGCUACCUCAGAGUGGCGGCAUUGUACAUCCACUUUCACACGCGCUGCGCUGAUCCAUGGAUCUCAUGUAGCGGUAGUGCAGUACCAUAUGAUCGUGGCUGGUAGCGCUGGAUCUUUUCUUGGCGUCCGUGGCCCGACAGCUCCGCUAGCAGUUAGUACGUGUUCGCACGCAAGCCACCACCACCGGUCAGUCCCGUUUCCUACCUCACCCUCUCCUAGUCUGCUCCUUCGCUACACUCGCCUACACCCUGCGAUGGCUCCUCGCCUUUAAUUUAGACUUUGUUCAGUUAUUCUCAUUAUAUAUGGAUUGGAUAGGUUUAAAAAAAUAGAAGAACUUUAACUUGUUUGAAAUUUAAAAUCAUUUAAUUUCACUUAAUCCACAUGAAUUGAGAGAUAACCGAAUAAGUCCUUAACGACAGAUAGAUCGUUAACUAUAAUUUUCCACACCAUAUGAAAGGAUCUCCUACUACUUAAUUUUUUUUCACAAAUAACGUGGGAAAGUGCCAUCCCGUGAAUAAUCGUGCAAUGCUGAACAAAUUACUAAGUUUCAUAUCGCAGCCAUAUUAUUACUUUCUACAAAUAACGCAAGGCGGUAGGCGGACAUUGCCUAUGCCGGUGUUCAUCUCAAUAACACAGUUUACAACUGUUUCUCCAUUGCUUGUUUGGUUGUUAACCAGGGUUCACCAAACCGGAUUGAGGGUAAAAAAACGACCCACACCGAUAACCGAUUUGAAAUCCGGUAGAAACCGGCCAAAAACACAAUCACCCUAGUUUUCAAUUCUAAACGGUUCGAAAAAAACCGAAUAAUCGGCCGAUCGGUUCCUGGCCUGAUAAACCGGCAACACAGAAGUAGAAACCAAGUCAGUCUAUAUAUAUAUAUAUAUAUAUAUAUAUAUAUAUAUAUAUAUAUAUAUAUAUAUAACGGGAGCCCUGGGCUUCGGAUAUUAAAAGAAGCCUAGGUCGGUUCAGAGGUCUGGUCCGAUGAGACAGACGCGUCUGUGUUUAACGAAGUCCAGACAGGUGGCAUGCAGGACAGACGGCGCUGUUACGCGGUUGUUUUAAUAGCAAGGCGGUAAACAUAUGGUAAAUGCGCGGAAUUAUAGGGAAUAGUUUCCACAUGCAAACGUGCUUACUAUGUUACGUGGGCGCGAAAUUUAUGGAUCUUGCAUGGGGUGUAAUGGCGGCAGGUAAAUAUAACGUAGAAUAAGAUGUUGAAAGAUAUGGCAUAAAACCGAAACGGCACAAAAGUUGCAUAAAUAGUAUAUAUCGUUUGGCGUAAAACGUUAAGUCAUUGUGCGUAAAUAGUGUAUUAUGGAUAUUAGUUUGACAUUGACAUCGCCAUAAUAUCGGGACGGUUUCGGAAAUAAUGGGGAGACCCUGUAAACGUGGAUGCGGUUACUUGUAUAGUAUCCGUGAUUUCCUUUCAUCCAAAAAAACACCACAAAGCCUGCAUAACUAUUUGGAGGUGGAGAUGGCCGGCUCUAGAGAGUCGCCGGCGAUGGUAGGAGAUGGCGUUCGUCUUGAUCCAGAGACAGAGGGAGUAGUUGAUGGUAACUCACUGGUCACACCACCUCCUGCUCUACUGGGUCCUGUGAUCGACGAGAUGAGCAUAGGGGAAGAAGGAGAACAAAGGGUUCGACCUCCUAUGUCCAAUAUUAGCUCCAAGGAGAUGGAUACGCCUCAAAUACUGCAUUCACAUGUAAGUCCAAUUGUUGUAUUUGAUUCUUGACUGAUUAGAUUGUUAUGAACAUAUUCCAUGGUACAAACAACAAUGUCAAUGAAUUUGCAGGAAAAAAACAUUGAUCCAACUAUAGUGCGAACGGUAGGGAUGACUUUCAAGGAUGUUGAUGAUGCAUAUAGAUUCUAUAAAAGGUAUGCAUAUGAAGUUGGAUUUCCACUGAAGAAAUACAGAGAGAAGACAUUCAGUAAGUGGAUAAAUUGUUCACGUGAAGGUAAAAGUGCGCCAAAAUCAAAUGAUACACCUAGGAUGAGGAAUAGGACUUCGGGGCGUACGCAAUGUAAGGCUGGAAUAAAAUAAAAAAUAUAUAUGAUGAUGAAAAAAAUGGUUGUAGCUGCAAAAAUUGAACUGGUAAACUUGGAGCAUAACCAUGAGUUCAUAACUGACGAAGCAGAGAAACAACAUUCGUUGCAACAAAAGUAGGGAUGCUGAGUUCAUAAAUUUUGUUGAUGCAAUGCAUGAUAGCCGAGUGUCGCAGCAUUGCAUAGUUGAUUUUAUAUCAGAAAUGCAUGAUGGGCUGGAGAACGUACCGGUAACUGCUCAAGAUCUGAAAAACAUGUAAGCAAUAUUUUUAUGUUUCAUGUGUAUAUAUUAAGUGCCAUAAAUAUUACUAUAGUAAAUGUGUGUGUAAUCAUUUUUUGUGCAAACAAAUGUAGGAGGGCAGCAAGGAGAAGAGAAAACUGCGCAAAUGAUGUAGCCAAACUUUUGGCUUUCUUUACAGAAUGCAAGAAACAGCAUCCACAAUUUUUUUUGAUUUCCAGCUAGACAAUGAUGGGAAAUAGUGAGUAUUUUUUGGUCACACGCAAGUAUGCAGGGGGAAUAUGCAGAUUAUGGUGAUGUUGUGACAUUUGAUACAACACACAAGACAAAUAUAUAUGAUAAACCACUGGGCAUGUUUGUUGGAGCUAACAGCCAUCUGCAGUGUACAGUAUUUGGAUUUGUUUUGUUGGGAGAUGAAACAGUACAGACUUUUGAAUGGGCUUUCAAUUCAUUCAAAACAUGUAUGGGAUGCGAGGGUCCGAGAGUUAUGCUUACAGGUAUGUGGUAUGUCAAUUUGUUAUGCAAAACAGUGAAUUAAUUUAUUGUGAAAGUAAAUUAAUAGUUUGUGAGCAAUUGCAGAUCAAGAUCCUGCAAUGCCAAUUGCUCUAAGAACUGUAUUUCCAAAAACAGUUCACAGACUGUGUUUAUGGCAUGUCCAGAACAGAUUUAUGUCAUUCCUAAAUGAGAUAUAUGCAAGGUUUGUUGUUAAGGAUUUUAAAACAACAUUCCAGUCUAUUAUACAUCAUCCAUUAACUCCUCAUGAGUUUGAAUGUGCCUGGGAAAUGAUGCUAGAGGAGUUCAAUCUUCAUAAAGAUAUGACUCUACGCAAAUUAUAUGAAAUAAGAAAAGAAUGGAUACCUGCAUUUUUUAAAAACGACUUCUGUGGGGUAAUUGUAUCUACACAACGAAGUGAGAGCAUGAACAGAUUAGUGAAGCAAUCACAUGUAGAUGCGAACACCCCACUGCAUGAAUUCGCUAAACAAAUGAUGAAAAUGUUGCACAGCAGGAAAAUGAAAGAAUCAAAGGAGGCAUUGGUGAGCAAGGUAUGUCGUGCUUGUUAUCAAUGACGUAUGGCAUACAUUUUAUGUAAAUAAAUUGUUUAAUUAUUAUAAUAAUGUCUUAUAGGGACCAAGGACAAUAGAUACAUUGUAUAGGUUCGAAGUGAGAGUCUCUAGAGCAUACACCAGAGCUGUUAUGAAUAGAUUUGAGGAAUCAAUGAAAUACACCACUGCAUACAAAAUAUUAAAGGACGCAGACAGUUGUGAUAAAGAUUGGAUCGUACAGCAUACAAAAAGGUCUAAUAAAAUUGUGUGGGGACAACAUCAAUUCAAGAUAACAGCGGACAUAGAAGCUGGGGAGUAUACAUGCGAGUGCAAACAGUGGGAACAUACAGGUUUGUACAUAUUAUGUUGAUUGAACGAAAAAAUUUGCAUACUAAAGAAUUUGUUGAUUGUAGUACAAAUUAAUGUAUAUCGUUAAAAAAUAAUGGUUGGUUUUCAUGUUUUCAGGUCUAUUGUGUGUUCAUCUUUUAAGAGCCUUCAUGCAUCUUCAAGUUGAAAAGAUGCCUUCAAAGUAUAUAUUGCAAAGGUACACUGUCUCAUCAAGAAAAGAUGUACCGUUUGAAAGAAUUGAUAAGAGCUUCAGGGGAAAUGAUGGAGUUACUAAAUCAUAUAGAUAGAAAAUGUUGUUAACGAAAACAAUGAAAGUAGUUCGCCAGGCGUGUAUGUCAAAAGCAGGGUACGACAAGGCGAUGGAUGUGUUGGAUGAGCUCGAUGGCAUUCUAUGCCGAUUAGAGCCAGAUAUUGGAUGUAAUGAGUCAUGUGAUUUUAGUGAUGAUGAGGAAGACAAGGUAAUAAUAUUCCAGUUGUUUAAGUGUUAUACUAUUUGUAACAUAUAUUAUGCAUAGUAACAUGUUAUUUGUACCAGGAAGGAGAAUUGAACAAAAAUAAUGCUGGCGAUGGGAUGGAAGAUGACAAUACAAUUACAUGCCAUAAAAUGGUAUGUAAAAGAUAAAUAUAUAAGCUUGCAUGAAGUAUUGUAUAUAAUGAAUAUAUAAAAUCAAUGUACUAAGCAAAUUUUAUUUUGUAGGAUGAGCAUAACACCAUGACUGGAUGUGAACAUGCGUUAACAUUAAUAACAGCUGGUAACCAGGUACAUAUUAAAAAAAUAUUGUUCAUUUGUCUAUAAUGAAAAUAUAUAUUUAUGCUGCAUGGAAAUGUUGAUGUAUUUGGGUUGGGCUAUAUAGGAGGACAACAUGAGAAUUCCACCUGAGGUUGGUGAUACAAGUUCUCCGUGUCACGUAACACAGGAACAAAUGGAACAUAUUGCUGCAUCCUCAGAAGCUAAAAAGGUGAGCAUUGAUAAAUGAUUUUACUGAUUGGUAUAAAGAUAAUUUAUGUAAAUAUGUGUAUACUAAAUAAUAACUUCUUUUAUUAUAUAGAGGUUGAAUUUUAAUGUGGAUGUUAUAAAUCUGAGUAUGCCGGAUCGUAUAAGACCAAAAUGACGGACAAUAAAAAAUUCAGAAGAUAGGAUUAUGAGACUAGGUGCGAAAGGAGAAAAAAAGAAGAAUAGGAGAUGCCAAUUGUGUGGUAUAGCAGAUGGACAUAACAGCAGAACGUGUCUGUCUGUGGAAGAGAACAGGGCAAGACUAGCAAAACUGGCUAAUCGAAAGAGAGGACGACCAGCCGGAUCAAGACUAAACAAUAAAACAACUGCUCCACAGUGGAAUGAAACAUCGACUGCUAAAAACAUCGUAUUGAUGAAGAAGUGGAAAAUGAAGAAGUCGAUGAGCAUAUGGAAUUGGGCGAAUAAUUUGAAGUGUGACUAAAGAGUGGCCGAUGUAGUAGAAACUUGUAAUAGCACAAUGACCUAUGUUUUAGUUUUUUGGAAAUUAAUAGUUUGCAUGACUUGGUUAUAUAAUGCGUUGAUAUAAAACUAUAAAAUGUUGCGUAAAACUAGACCAUUACACAAAUUAUGUAACUGAAUAUAUACCACAAAUUGGCAUUGAACGUUUAGCAAUCGGCAGAUCUAGACAUAAAUGGUAUAUAAACUCUAUACACUUAACAUAACUAAUCGAAUGGGAGUACAUACUUCGGUUUCGCACUACAGCUACACCAGACAGGAUGUAGCAUAACCACUGGUUACAGUUAGCAUAAUUAGCAUGGUAAAUGUGUAAAAAGGAACCUAAUGUAUAUAAAGUAAGGAAGUAUAUAGGUUGCAUAAAACUUGAAUAUUAAAGAUAAUAUGAUAAUAGAAAUACGCCAAACAUUGGACGCAAACGAUUAACCAUCUCACAAUCUGGAAAUGAAAAGCAUAGAAUUUCGUAACAGAUAACAUAACUAGACAUUCUGGUAACACUUAUGUUUGACACACUUCAAAUAAAAACUGAAACGAAGUAGCAUAGACACUGGACACAUCGAACAUAAGUGGCAUAUGGAGUAUCAUACACAUGAGCAACGCCUGACAUAAGUGACUUAAUAAGUAACAUAAACAAUUUUGGGGAUCCAUAGGGAAUCAUGUUCAGCUAUGAUAUCUAAGUCUUGGCUUUCAAACAACGCCGUCUCCUUGGAGCAUACUUGAACGGCAGCAGUUCUGCAGGGAGGGGGACAACCCUGUUGUUGCGAUGAAAGGUCAGGUAAUGCAGAACAAAGGCACGUUGGUCCAAUGGUUCAUCCUGAAAUAGUCAUAAUAUAGAAUUAAUGCUAAGAUUAAGUAUGAAGGAGUAAUAUAUGCAUGAUCAAAACACUAAUUUAGUAACAUACCGGAGUAUAAAAUUCUGAUAAGUCGCCAUCAUCAAAAUCGUAGUAUCAGAGGAAGUUUGCGACAAAAAAACCACAAUCGUUUGACCCUGGUAACAUGGUUGGACAAUUGGGAAGAAGCCCAAUCUUGUAGUUGCCAAACUUUGGUAAAGUUGAAUCAGGUCGAGCUUCAUGUAACGCAAUGCUAAGUCUUCUCAUUAUUAAUCUGGACCAAGGUAUCUUCGUUCCAUUUAUCAACAAUUGAUCAUUAUGGAUUUGUUUCCAGGUAGUGCCUCCAAGCAAUGUCCCAUAAGGAUUUGAAUCUAAGAUGUCUAUUCGACGAAGUUCAAAGUUGAUUGCAUAAAGGGUCCAGUGACUACGGCGUAGCAUAGGAACCAGGAUCUGUUAAGAUAUAUGUAUAAGUUUAUGAAUGAACAAUAAUAGGCGUAUGGAAAAUUAAAGAUAAGAUAACAUAUAACUAAUGACCAAAAGAACAUUAUAAUAUUAUUAUAAAUAAAACUGAUUGGGGCUCACCAAUUUAAUUUGGUUCAGAACUUCAUCUGGAGGAAGCGUCGGUUCAAGUUGUUCUUUAAGAAGUGAUGUUGAGAAGGGCUGGGGAUUUGAACUAUGCUAUUCGAACUCCUCGAUAUUCAAAACGGUCUGAACAAAAAAAAUCAAUUGAUUAGUAUUAUAUAUUUAUACAGUAAGGGUUGCAAUAAGAUACAAAGUUGUAGAGAGAAAAUUACCCCAACAUUGACAUUCAGUAUUAGAGUGUUGAUUACAGAAUCUGGAUUGUAUAAUACAUCAUCCUCACGAAUACAGUCGAUAAAUCCCUGCAUGAAAAUAUUCUUAAGGCAUUUAUUAGGACCAAACGACUGGACAACAUCGAGGACAGAACCUCCAAAUCCUCCAAAAUUUAUGAUAGACCUGGGAAAAAAAUAAAACUUUAAUUACAAAUCAUCUAAUUAUACUUAAUUGGAAUUUGAAUAACGAAUACAUACAUGCUCAGAUCUAGUUGUCCUGACAAAAUGAACUUAAGUAGGUUGCGAGCACAGUCUUCGCGUGACACAUGGGGAGGUUCAGCAACUGCAGAUUUAGAGGAACUAUCCCUUGCAACAAGUUCAGUAGUUGCCUAAUAUAUGUAUAUAUGUUAGUAAACAAUUGAAUAAAUAAUUAUGUAUUUUAGUGUGUAUAUAUAUGAAAAAUAUGAGAAGAUAAAACGACAUGACUUACAUCUGUCAGUGGGGUUUUAUCAAACUGUGGUGCACCAGAUACGAGAGUAUCAUGUGUAACAGAUUUUUGUCCUUCCUGGAAACAAUAAAAUUAUUAAUAUAAACGUAAUGAAACAUAGGUUAUAAUUAAUAUUAACAUAAUAUGAUGAAGGUAUAAAUACUGACGGUAUUUAUAUCUGGUGUUAAUUCAGGAGCAGCAGACUUGUCGGUUGUGGGAGCCUAGUGAAUAAAGUAAAUAAAGCAUGCAUAUAUAUUACUGUUACUUGCAUACAUUGUAAAUGAAAAUAUAAUAACUGUGAUUAAAGGAAAGCAAACAUUUGAUUUUGGAGUCUUGUCAAAUAUAGGGGCAUCCAUAACUGAAUUUUUUUACAGACGUUCCCACUGACAAUCUGUAAUGGAAACAACUGAAAUUUGAGUAAACAGUAACUUGUAUGCUAAAUAUAAUAUAUGAUUUGUAUAUAAAGUUUGUAUGAAAAACUUACAUGAUCUGAUACUUUGAUAUGAUCAGUAGGAACAUGAAUUUCCUGAUCAUGUUGCUGAUUAUCAGGUGUUGGAACAGGUGGAGAGGAUACUGGAGCAUUUGUUGGAGGCAUUGAGGUAGUGGGGGGUUAUCUACAUUUGGAAAAUAUAAUAAUAAAGUAGUUGUUAUUGAAAUGUACCAGAAAUAUAAAUGUAUCAUUAUAAAAAAAUGGUUAAACAUACACAUCAUCGCAAACUACAUCAAUACACUAUGAGGAUACAUAAAUAAAUGAGAGUUUUCAAAAAUAAAAUUAACUGAAAAAUGUGUUGCUGAUUAUAUGAGUAUAAAUUAAUGCAUAAGUUGUAUAUACAAUGCUGCAUAGAAUAAAGUAUCUGAGAUCGUAUAACUAAAUAUAAUUUCCUCGCAAUAAUUCGUGAACUUGAUUAAUUUAAAAAAUAAACAAAAAUAAUAAAACCUUCUUGCUGUGAAUCGCGUUGCGUUGCAGCUCUCAGUACUUCAUCGAUCAUUUCAUCAAAUGUUUCAGAUAGUUCAAUCUGCUUCGAAACAAUUAUUUGAUGGCUCAGCUGAAGGGAAUCACAGUAUUUAUCCACCUCUUUGUCAUGAGCAUCAAACAUUGAUUGAAAUAUUGGUCGAUGCUGGGAGGGCAAACAUUGCAACUUGUUGCCAAUCAAAUGCUUGAUAUGUGGCACAUAUAUGUUGAAAACGACAGAAACAGGCCGUUCUGGAGCAAUAACGUAACACGUUUCUGAACGGCUACGAAACUGUAUAAAGCCAAAUAGAACAAUUAGCAGUAAUAAAAUUUUAACAUCUGCAUAACAGGACAAAAAUUGUUUAUGUCUAACCUCUGCAUAACCGAAUGGUUCACCAGUUCUACGGGGGGACGUCUAUCACCCCUAGCCAAAUCUCUUAUGGUCUCAUUAUCAAAAAUCUUAAUACGGGGAGUACCAUAUUUGUUAUCAGGAGAUGCAGGGUGAUGUAAGUGAUCAAGAUAGUAAAUCUGAAAAAAAAAGAAUGCAAAAGUAUAUAAAAUUAGUACAUAACAAAUAUUUGCAUAUCAUAUAUAUGCGCAGUAAACAAAAAGAAUUACUUACUAGAACAAUGAGUGAACAUCCAUAUAUUGUUGCUGUGAUGUUUGUUUUGUUCUUUUUGUGCCAACGUGUGGCAGCAUCACACAAAUCCGUGUAAACUAGUUGACACCAGUCAAUAUCAGCCAUUCGGGGCAUGUUUGAAGUUAUUAGUACCUCAUUGUUUGUAAUGCCCCAUGAAGCAGAAAGAAAAAGAAGUCGAUUGAAUAGAAUCAGAAAAAAGCAUCUGAUUGAUAACUCAUCAUCAUUGCCAAGCACUAUCUUGUCCUGAAGCUUCACAACAUCGAAUUCUUCUUUACCAACUUUGAGAUCACGUCUCAGUUUUGCAGCAGCAUCCACUUCACCGUACCAAUCGGUAAACUCCCUGCCUCCUCCAGCACAUGGCAAACCCAAAAUCAGACGAACCGUCUCUUUUGUUAUCUUCAGUUCCUUGCCAGCCCCUAGGCGUAUGGUCAUGUCAUGUGGAUCCAAUUUAUCCAUCAACCACCUGAUGAGAGAUCUGCUCUCUAAGGCAUCAGUUCGCAAAUCAAAUAUACUAGAAAAUCCCAACCUAGCGACGGCAUCGCGCUGUCGAUCGCUCAUUAUCCAAGAUGAGACAAUAACAUCAUGAGGAAUGCAGCGGAUAUUCAAUUUCUGAAAGCAUAAAUGAAUAUGCAUUAAUACACAAAGUAUAUAUAUUGUUAUAACUAAGGGUACUAUAUUUACAUACAAGGGAUAUUUAUUAGAGGCUUGUAAAUAACUAGUCUACAACACUAAAAAGAAUAAGCAACAUAUUUUGAGAUAAUAAUAUACAUAAAUAUAAAGUGGGGGAAAAUACAAAAUUGAUUAGGCACCAAAAUUAACACAUGAAUAAACAGAAAUAUAUACAUAGUACCUGAGAUUUUCUAGGAGUCUUCUGUUUAGGAGAGCUUUCUUUGUAAUGAUAUUAGACUUGGCAUCUAUAUCAAACUUUGGACUGCUUUUCACACUCGGAACUUGUGGAGAAGGGACCUUUAUCUUCUUUGCACCAUUUUUUUGUAGGGGAAGGUGAUGUUGAUCUGAAUUGGCGCUUCAACGAUGGAGCAUCCAUGAAAUCAUCGUCGGACAGUGUGGAUGGAGCAGGAGGUUUUGUUUUUACACGGCAAGCUAAAGCCUUUCUGCGAAAACGAUGGACUGGUGUUGGUUGUGGCUCAUUCUGCUUCUGAUUAUGUGGGUUGUCAUCUUGGUGAGCUGAGCUGCUAGAUCUUGUACGUCUGGAAAUGUCAAUGGAAAAAACCUCCUGACUGGAUUCGAUGGUUAAUCUUUUUGGAUUACUUGGAGGGCGAUCAACAGUUCUCAUGAUUAAACAUUGAAUAAAUCUGUUGAAAAAAAGUUGUUUUUAAAUACAGUGAUUUAUGCAUGAAUAUAUGCCAAAAGACUCUAAUUUCUACUAUAACUAUCUACAAUGCAUACUACAUAAUGCUAAAUGGAAGUACAUAACUUAAACUACCUUUUACGUUUAUGUGACAACAUUUAAUGAACAAUGGUCAUAUACAAACAUAAAGAUUAAUUUAAUAUUUCAUAUAAUUGGAACUGGAGCAUGAUAAAGUAAGUGCCUUUUUUGCAUCAACUAACUAUACAACAUGUUUUAAUAACUGGUUCAUAGUAAUAUACACAUUUAGCUCAUAUUCAAAAAUGAAUAUUUAAAUAACUUUUGCAUAAAUAACAGUUUUUGUAUGUAUUUAUAUAUAAUAAACAGUAGUGUAUACUACUGAUUCAAUUAAAUAGAACAAUACAAUUAUGCUUAUUACCUUACAUAAACAUCUAUAUAAAUGAGCAUAGACAGUAUUGCCGAUAUGCAUAAAUAUCAAAUCCAAUAAGUAUAUUUUAUAUAUAAUACAACAGGUGUGUAAACUAAUGAUUGAAGUAAAUAGAACAAUACAAUUAUGCAUAUUAUCUCGACCAAUAUUCAAAACAUUUGUACAAAUGUGCAGAAACAGUCUUGACGAUAUGCAUAUAUAUCAAAUACAAUAAGCAUAUAUGUGUUACUAAUGUUGUAUAAAGGUACUCUCUACAAACUCAUGAAUAAAUACCUGAUCCACUGCCUUCGUCUAGGUCUAUGAAUGUCGAGAGAUACACUGGAUCUAGAAGAAAUGCAGAUGACCUAAUAUCGGGGCUCCUGAACAAAAGAUAGAUGAAAUGAGCGACGCAAUAAGCAGAUUAGAGAGAUGUAUAAUCGGAUACAAAUCGCACAUUUAGAUGAAGAAUAAGGGUUACAAUCAAAUCCACUUCAAUCAACGAAAAAUGCUUCAAGAAUCGACGGAAAACACGAUGUAUUUCAAGUUGGAUUACCUGGAACUUCUGGGAAAGCAUUGGACGCUCUUGAAUCAGGCUCCAAUGCUCGGAGAUUGAAGGAGCUCAGCUGGAUUCGAGCGGCGCUGGAUUGGAGCGGCGGAAAUCGUCGGUGAGUCGCCUCAAACGAAAGGAAGGACGACGCGGUCAGUGGGGUUUCCUUCCUAUCGACGCGGGUUUCCCUGGGCUGAUUGCGUGACGACGGUUUUAGAAACCGGGAAACAGGGGAUCGUGGCUGGGACUAACGUGGGCAACGGUGUAACGGCGCCGUGACUGGAUACUGUUGACCAGGUCUGGUUCAACCCAAAUGAUCAUAUUGACUAGCCUGGGCUUCCUCUAUUAUUGGCAGCCCAGGGCUCUUAAUAUAUAAACUAUAUAUAUUAAUAAAUAAAGUAUAUUGAGGUCCCAUAAUUUUUACAAAAGAUGAUCCCUAAAUAUUAUCACAAGUCCAAUAACAACAUUUAGCAGUUCAAAUACGUUACAUGACAGUGUUUCAUAGUUCACAAACAACAUCGAAGAUACAAAUACAGCCUCUGUCGAAGAUCGUUCCCACGGGGUGCAUUCCACUGAUAUUGUGCAUGUGCCAUAUUGUACUCCUUUAUUGAUAGCAACAUAGAGCCUGUUUGGGUCAGCUUUUUCAAGGAGCUUUUCUGAAAAUCUGGUUAUAGAAAAUCUGGUUGUGGAGAGAAUCUGAUUAUCGUGGCAAUUACAUAUGCGGAGGUCGAUAAAAGAGUCCAUAGAGUUUAUGAUGUAGAAAGUGACAGUUUCAUACUAUUGCAACGAUUUGGUCGAUUCUAUGUUUAUGUUGAUUUUGGACGGUUUUGACUAAAACGAUUCUCAUAGAAGCGAACUGAAAAGUUAAGUGUUUAGCAGUCUGCAGUAGCUUCUGACGGCCAAAAGCUAAAAAAAUCUAAAACAAAUGGGGGCAUAAUACCUUGCUCACACAUCAAUUGUGCCUUGUACUCUGCCCAAGUCUGAUAGGUCCACGCAGAAGUCACACUUCACGACUCCACCGGCAUUUGGUAGUACUCAGGGUCCUCCCAUUCAUACACCCACCUCAUUUGCUGUUGUGUCACCUCACCAACCGAUUAAUUGACAUAGGGAAGUAGGGAUGAAGAGGGAUCUUGUCUUUCGUUGCUAGAAUCGGGGUCCACUAUGCUUAUUGCAGGCCUUGGUAUCCGAUCCCUAUGCGAGUGGUCCUACGCUCCUCGGGUGUGCCAUGAUCUUCGUCUUGUGUAGUGUAUUCGUACUAGGACUCCCCUACAUAGUUAUAAAAACAUGGUUAGAUAUCAAACACUAAUUUAUUGAGAAUUAAAUGUAAUGGUACCUGUGAAAUAUAUUAGUCAUUUGAGACACACUAGCACCACCACUACCGCCACCGCCACCACCACCAGCAGUGCCACCACUAGCACCAACAUCGCUAUCGCCAGCACCACCACCAGCAUCAUCAGAAGACGUCGCUGAACUGCCAUCGACAGACUUUGGGUAUUGUGGACUUUUAUCACCACUAUCGGUCUCAUCAUUGCUAACCACUGUUUUCUUUCCUUUCUUGCUUGCUUUUUCGUAACAUGAACUGUGCCUUUCGCUAACCAACGUGAGUAUCCCCCACAUUCUUCUUUGUCCACUCAACUAGUUUUUUCUCAAGUGCCUUCAACCAUGAUGCUUGAUGGUAAUGGUGUGUCACUCUCGGUGUCCUCCUCGUCUAGCACUGGAUCCGCGUUUGAGUGACCUAUUUCCAUCCAAUGAUGGAUUGAAUUGUUUGUGUCAUAUAAGGACAACUCCAUCAACUGUGAAAAUGGACGUCCUCCCCUUGCACACUUGUGAACCCAAUUGCAUCCUUUGGGUGUAGCCUCAGGUUGUAAUUCACAUACACAAGCUUAUGGAGCUUCUGGUGCGAUAAUCUAUUCCUCACCUUUAUGUCCACCAAAGCAAACGUGCUCCAGUUGCUCACAACCACUAGAGGAACAACACCGUGAAACCAAUCUCAAAGCAAGCUUUUGUAACGUCGGAGUGUCUAAACCAAACAUGGCCCACCAUGAUACUGCAAAAAGUAGCACAUUCACAUGACGAACAAAAGCCUUAAUGUACUUGCGACAACGAGUAAUUACUUACCAGGCGAAGUGUUGUGAUCGUACGCCAUAUUUUCAGCCAAAGGUCUACCAAACUCCCAUUUUUUCUUAUGUACAACUCAACCUCCUUAGCGCUUGGGUUGUUGUAUCCACAUCAGUCGUAUAUUCGAAUGCAUGCCGAAGAUCACUCAUCACUGAAACACUAGUGCCAUACGCAUAGUGUGUCUAAGGGUUCAAAGCAAUAAUUGUUUGACAUGUAGUUAGUAUUGAUUCAUGAUAGGAAUAUUUAAAGAAACUGUAAUAACUAUAGUACUUACCACCAUUUAUAUAGGUUUGAUUUGUAAGAUCUGCCAUUCUUUUUUAUCACCUUUCUGUAUUUUUUGUACUCUACUUUCAUACUGAGAUUUAGAAGUACCUCACUAAGUGUUCCCUUCUUGUCUUCAUCAGCGAAGCGAAGAAAACCAAAUAAUGGCUCAGUUGCAUCAACCACUUACUUUCUUUUUCUAAGGGAUUUCUAUUUUUCCAAAUGAAAUUAGUUUAUUUUCUUUGGGAAAAUUAUAAUCCCUAAAAAACGGUGUUCCCAAAUUAGCAUAAAAAUGUAUUCGAUCUUUUUUUGUUUUUGUUAAAUAACAAGAUGACAUUACUUGUUUAAGAGCAUUUCCGAGAGACUUUUCAUUUUCUCUCUAUAUUUGACUUUCUAUUUGUCUUUUCUUAAAGAUUACACUUUACAUGUAGCUUCUCAUUCCAACAAACUAUCUAUUUAGUUUGGCUAGUCAGGUGGCUAGCCAAGUUUAACUAGUGAGGGAGUUCAUUUGGACUUUGGAGAGUCAGAUAGCUUGCCGAGUCAGAUAAUUAGUCUGUUGGAGAGUUAUUUUGCCGUUGAAUACCUAAAAUUUGGUUUGACUAGACAUUUAUCUAGUUUGUGGGAGAUGCUUAUUAGAUAAUCUAGAGAAUCCCUUUAAAAUGAUGGCAAAAUGGAGAAACCUAUUUUUGAUAAUGGCAGAAUUCCAAAUUUCUGAACCACCUCUCACGUGCCACCGCGUCGCUCCUAUACGACCAUUCCAUAUCCCCCUCCUCUUCCUCCGCCCGCCGCCCCCAGCCACUCUGGUUCGGGGAUAAAUUUGCCAUUAUGGAAGUCCUCAGGUGCGGCUUCGACGAAUUGUAGGCUUAGGAGAGGGAUUCGCCGUUAUGAAAAACUAGGGGACAACCCACACUCCAAAAUGGACAUGACCACUCCAUUACACAGUUCGAAAAACGAUUAGUAUCGUCGAUAUCGUCGCCGUCUCCAUCGCCGUGAGCGCCGUCGAGGUGUCCCUUCUCUCCUUCUCCUAGCAGACAUCUUCCUUCUCUCCUCUCUCGCACGGGUGUCCCUUCUCUCCUCUCUCGCACUAGAGGCAUCCCUCCUCGCACUAGAGCCACACCAGAGAGCUGUCUCGCAGCAAAGAUUUCCCCCCACUGACGUGAGAUCUGCACGGACACCGGUCGCCGCUGUCUCAGACCCGAUUCAAGGGCGCCGCCCGUGAGUUUGUGAUUGUUGUUCUUCAUUCAUUGAACUUCUCUCCCUCAGUCGUCUCCUCCCCCAACCAGAUCUAGCUCGUUGUCUUUGAGCAGUGGAUCCAGCAUGGAUGAUUUGGAGCUGUUUAAUGACGCAGACAUUGCAAUUUCUUCCCCCAAGGUACUUAUUAUUGGUCGGCCGUGGUAUGAAUCGUGUACAUUGAACCAUUGAUUUUGUAAAUGUUUGGUUGAAUUAUUGGCAGGUCCCGUAAUGUCUUCACCCCCUAGUUCAAGUUCCUUACCACUAGUUCCAUUAGGUGGUAAUACUGCUAAUAAGGUUAGUUUUGCUUCAUUUUUGUACACUAUAGUGUGGUUAGGAUUGUAUGUGAGUUCACUUAGUCAUGCAGGACAAUGAUUGGGAAUCUUUUGUACUAUCUGAUUUUUGGGAUGAGGAAGGGAGACAUGAUGUUCCAAGUGAGAUGCAGAUGUAUUCUCAACUAGGACUGAAUGAAGAGGACAAGGCAAAGGAAAAUAAAAGAGAUGAAGCUGGUUUAGGUGGUACAAGUAAUUUGGAUCAAUCGGAGCCUAUUAAUUUAGGAGACAAUAUAUAGUGAUGACCAACCAUGUGAGGACUUCCUACCAAAUGAGAAGAGGGUUAUGUAUGAUAAAAUGAAUCUGUUAAUGCAACCUGGUAGUUUGUUCCCCAACAUGAAGGAAUUUCGAAUUGCUAUGAGGCAGUAUGCCAUAAAGCAUGAGUUCGAGCUUGGAAUCGAUGUAACUUCGACUACCAGAUACGUUAGAUAUUGUAAAGGUGGUGAUUUUCAUUGGAGGAUUUAUGCACGAGAAGAAAAGAAAGGAUUACCGACCAUUGUGAUAUGUUAAUUCAAAGUUAUGUUGUGAAUUUAGGGUUUGUUUGUGUGCAAAGUUGUGAUUCGACUAUUUUUGCAGGUUGUUGUUUUGCAUGAUUCACAUACUUGCACAUCUAGUGGAAGGCGGAAGACGACUACACCAAGUUGUGGAUGGGUAACUUUUCACGCUUUACCACUACUCAUGAAGAAACCGCAGAUGGGUGCCAAGGAAUUGCAAGACACACUUCAAGGAGUUCACAAUGUCACUAUUGGUUACGACACAGUUUGGAAGGGGAAGGAGAAGGCAUUAAAAGAGUUGUUUGGCAGUUGGGAGGAGAGUUUCAAGCUACUAUUCUCUUAGAGGGAGGCAGUACUUGCUAAGGAGCCUGAUAGCAUUGUAGAGAUUGAUGUAGUUUUAGAGGAUGGGAAGUACUAUUUUCAACCGUUUCUUUUGUGCCCUAGGUCCGUGCAUCUCAGGUUUUAGGGAUGGUUGUAGACCGUACUUAAGUGUUGACUCGACCGCACUUAAUGGUAGAUGGAAUGGUCAGCUUGCUUCAGCAACCGGUGUGGAUGGGCAUAAUUGGAUGUAUCCUUUAGCAUUUGGGUUUUUCCAAUCUGAGACAAUAGAUAGUUGGAUUUGGUUCAUGUCACAAUUGAAGAAGGCUGUUGGAGAACUUAGAGUACUCGCUAUUUGUUCGGACGCUCAAAAAGGCUUAAUGUAUGCAGUGACACAUUGUUUCCCUCAUGCUGAGAAGAGAGAGUGCUUCCGACAUCUCAUGGGCAAUUAUGUCAAAAGCUACUCAGGUUCUGAACACAUGUAUCCAGCUGCCAGGGCAUAUAGGAGUGAAGUGUUUGAGCAUCAUGUCAACCAAGUAAGAAGUGUUCCUAAGAUAGCUGAAUAUUUGGAUCAACAUCACAAAUUCCUUUGGUACAGGAGUGGUUUCGACCCAUCUAUUAAAUGUGAUUACAUAACAAACAACAUGGCUGAGGUCUUUAACAACUGGGUGAAAGAUCACAAGGACCUACCAGUUUGUGACUUAGCUGAUAAGAUUAGGGAGAUGACCAUGGAGUUGUUUCAUAGGAGGAGAUGGAUUGGUGAAAGACUGCAGGGUCUGAUCUUGCCAUCUGUUAUGGCUACAUUGAAAGCUCAGACUAGAGGGUUCGGCCAUUUGACAAUUGUCAAAAGCGACAAUUACUUGGCAGAAGUGAGAGAUAGUACAAAUUGUUUGACAAAACAUGUGGUGAAGGUAGAGUCGAGACAAUGUUCUUGUGAAGAGUGGCAGCACACAGGGAAACCUUGUCAACAUGGAUUGACAGUGAUUAUUGCCCAGGAUGUAAGGAAUGUUGGUAUGGAGAACUUUGUCGAUGAUUAUUAUUCUGUUGACAAGUUUAGAAAAGCUUACAUGCGAAGGAUUCCACCAAUUGGUGACCGUUCUUUUUGGCCGAAGGUGGAUUUUUCAAAUGAAGUAUGUGCACCAAUUGCUAAAAGAGGGGUUGGGCGACAAAGGAAAAACAGAAUGAAGAGUUGUCUAGAGGGUGGCAGUGGGAAAAAAAUGAAAGGUCAUAGAAAAUGCUCAAGGAACAACAAAAAUAAAAACACAAUACACUUGUCCAAACUGUAGUCAACUAGGUCAUCGAAAAACCAGUUAUAAGUGCCCUUUAAAUGGAACAAAGAAAAGGUUAUAACUUUAUUUUUUAUUUUAUUGACCUAUUUUUGUCUUCAGUAAUUACAUAUUUUUGUUGCUUUGUAGGAAGAGGAAGCCUAGGAAGAAUACCACGAAAAAUUGGAUCCUGAAAGAGUUGCGGACUUCAACAUCACAACCUAGUGCUCCUAAUGAAGAUGUAGAAACAGCUGGUGAUGCAGAGGCGGCUGGAGAUACAGAAACAACUGUAAUAGACAAUGGUAGCCAUGAAGAUGCAGCACUAGUCUGUGUGGAGGCUGAAGAUGUAGCACUAGUCCGUGUGGAAACUCCUAGUUCUCCACCAAGAAGUGUCAAGUGGCUCGUUAAGAAAAUUACUCUGAGGAAAAACUUGAAGCGUGCUGCGCAAAGGCCGUAGAACAACAGUUGGGCAGUAGUGCUGCGCAAAGGAAAGGUGAAAGUAGCAUAGAGGGGGGUGAAUAGGCUACACCUAAAAUUUUCCACUAAAAACUUCGAGAUAGUGUCAGAUUCAAGUUGCACUGGUGCAAACCGGUUCUGUUGAUUUUGUUUACAACCGAACAAGUUUGAACCUGCUCAACUUAGAUUAUAUAAAUCGUUAAACAAAUGUGACGAAGUAGUGAAAGAUUUUGCUAAAGACUUGCCCUAGAGAAAAUCCACUCGAAUAGAUGACAAAUCGGUGUGAAUUGCUUUCACAGGAUUUGCACACAAUAUAAUCAAAUAUGAACUAACCAACCAAAUAAAGCACUUAUGAAGAACACACAAGAACACACGAUUUAACCCGAGGUUCGGCAACCACCACAAAGGUAUCCUACUCCUUGUUGAGGAGCCCACAAAGGGUCAGGUCUUUUCCAACCCUAAUCCUCCACAAGCCGACCACCGAGGUCAAGGCAAUCUCUUCUCAAAUUUGCUCAAAGAGCGGGUGAUACAAACUUCUUGGGGUCAUCCACAAAUUUGGAGACUCCCAAGCAACCUCUAACCGUCAAGGAACGCAAGGUUCCAAGAGUAACAAAUCCGCACAAGGUUAAGUUUGCAAUGAGCUCAAGAAUGAAGAGAAUAGGAGAAUCAAGAUGAAAUCAACAUUGUGUUAGAUCGACUUCACCUCACACCAAGGAUCCUUCAAACGAUUGAAGGGGAUGCGAUUUCGGGUGUGAGAGGUGAAUUGAAUGCCUUUGUUUGGAGGUUGGUCAGCCAUGAAAUCAUGGAAGGGCCAAAGUGAAUGAAGAGAGAGAGUGUGUGGGGGUAUUUAAAGGAUCCCCCAAAAGCUAGCAGCCGUUGGGAGAAGUGGACCAAAAACCGGUUGAACCGGUCCUUAAACCGGUUGAACCGGUUUCCACCAGGGGGUUCUCGGUUCACUGAGCUACUCAACCGGAGACUCGACCGGACUCAAAAUCGGUUGAGCCGGGCCCAAAUACGGUUGAAUCGGUUUUUGAAAAACUCUGCACACGACUUUUCUGACAGCUUUUGACUGUCAGACUGGCAGGACAAAGGUGGCAGAAUGAACAGUACAGAAAUCGGUUGAACCGGUAUUUGAAACUGAAGAGCAAGUUUUAAGAAAACAGAAGUGAACCAAGGUGGAACUUUUUGUGGGGAGUAAGAGUGGUUUUUCCAAGGACAUUCAAGAUCUAGAAAAGUAUUCUCUUAGAGGAUUUGAAGGAAUUUGAACUGAGCACAUUGCAUAACUUACUUAACUUAUUGCGGAUCCCUCUUAAUUGAACGACGAUUUCUAUAACUCAAGAAUAAUAAAAAGUAAACUGUCGUUGUUUCCAAGCACUUGGAGCACGCCAUAUGAUGUAGAAUUUUAAUCUGCUGUGCUUUUACAUUUGCAUACUCAUAAGAUCUGUGCUUCUCCUGUCUGUAGAAUAACUGUGUACAUGUUAGGAGCAUACUUGUUAGAAUCUCUGUUUGUUUUGUCAUUUAAUCACCAAAACCCUCAAUUAGGGUUGAUUGCACUUACAAUCUCCCCCUUUUUGGUGAUUGAUGCCAAAACAAACUAGAGAAAAGAUAAAAGUAAAAGUAAAAGCACUGGCAAGAUAUAAAUACUUGUGUAUGUGCAGCUCCCCCUGAAUAUGUGCAUGAGUUUUGUGAUAUUCAUAUUGACUUGAUAUGUCAAUUUGCAACAUAUUUGGAGAGAGUGAAAAACUAACACAUGACACAAGCACUAAGGGAUGCAACAGAAUUAUAUAAGAUGUGAUGAUAUAAAAAUAGCAUUACUCUAACAAAUCCAUCAUUGUAUAGCAUAAGAUAUGAAAUGGUACUGCUAUUACAAUAAAGGUCAUCACAUCAUUAAAUUGUUUAUGGCUCUAGGCCAUCACCGCAUGCAUCAUAGCAAGCAUAGUUGAAAUAAAGUUAUUACAGACCAGGUGUUCAUUAAAAAAUUAAAAGCCCCUGAGGGCAACCAAGCCAAACUGCCAAGCUGUCAAUCAUUCUCCCCCUUUUUGGCAACAAGCACCAAAAAUGGAGAGAACCACCAACCACAAAUCACCACUGAUGAGGAGUCAGAUCAUAGAAUUGAGACGCCAAGUUAGCCGCAAAGUUUUCUUCCCUAGACUGAGCUAGGGGGAUAGUUGCCCGAUGGAUCCUGGGGAGGAGGAUAUGAAGAAGAUUGACCCGGAUCCCCGUGAUGGGGAGGCGGGGCAAACUGCUCACGAUCAUCAAAAUAUUCUUCCUCUUCUUCAUCAUCGUCUUCUGCUGUCAUGAAGGGCACCCCAUAGGCCUGCUAGUGCCAUUCAUUGAUUUCUGGCGGAGGAGGAUGCAGAGGCACAUCAGGCGAGCGGGGAGCAAAUGGCAUACCCAUGGAAGAGGCUUGACGACGAAGGUUGUCGUCAGUCUCCUACUGACGCCUCGCCAGCUCAUGUACAUCGGAAGAUAUGUUCCUGCACAUAGAAAAGAAGGCUGCAAUACCAUGGGCCAGUCGAGCUCCCAUCCCGCGACAACGACCUCGACCACGACCACGACCACGUGGUGUGGGAGAUCCGCGACCAGGAGAGGUAUGAGGGACCGGCAGCAGCAUGUCUACGAGAGCUGGAGGGGGCUUUCCUCAGACUCCCUGCUGGAUUGUUUGGAUCAAUCUAGAAGGGGGUGUAGGAGAGAUGUCUUGUUCCUUUCUCAAAGCGAAACUGAGUCACCACUUCAAACAUCUUCAUGAUGAAGGGGCGUGAAGACAUCCCUUGAGAGGGAAGCAGGCAACAUGGAUGAUUUCUUGCUAAAUCAUAUCAAAUACAUUGAUGCUUUCAGAACUGUUUGGCUUCAUAAAUGAGAGCAAGACUUUGCUCUCUCCCAGGAUAUUCAUUUGAUUACCCCCUUUGGG
rnacentral:lncRNA from 1 species